rnacentral:lncRNA from 1 species
UAAACAUAUGAAAGCAACAACGCAAGCUAUUGAUCUACAACAUAAUUUGCAAAAUGCUACCAGGACUAAGUUCAUGAUAAAUUUAAGUUCAAUUAAUCAUAUUACUUAAGAACUCCUACUUAGACAGACAUCUCUCUAGUCAUCUAAGUGAUCACGUGAUCCAAAUCAACUAAACCAUAACUGAUCAUCACGUGAGAUGGAGUAGUUUUCAAUGGUGAACAUCACUAUGUUGAUCAUAUCUACUAUAUGAUUCACGCUCGACCUUUCGGUCUCCGUGUUCCGAGGCCAUAUCUGCAUAUGCUAGGCUCGUCAAGUUUAAGCUGAGUAUUCUGCGUGUGCAAAACUGGCUUGCACCCGUUGUAGAUGGACGUAGAGCUUAUCACACCCGAUCAUCACGUGGUGUCUGGGCACGACGAACUUUGGCAACGGUGCAUACUCAGGGAGAACACUUCUUGAUAAUUUUUAGUGAGAGAUCAUCUUAAAAUGCUACCGUCAAUCAAAGCAAGAUAAGAUGCAUAAAAGAUAAACAUCACAUGCAAUCAAUAUAAGUGAUUUGAUAUGGCCAUCAUCAUCUUGUGCUUGUGAUCUCCAUCUCCGAAGCACCGUCAUGAUCACCAUCGUCACCGGCGCGACACCUUGAUCUCCAUCGUAGCAUCGUUGUCGUUUACACCGUCUAUUGCUUCUACGACUAUUGCUACCGCUUAGUGAUAAAGUAAAGCAAUUACAGGGCGUUUGCAUUUCAUACAAUAAAGCGACAACCAUAUGGCUCCUUCCAGUUGCCGAUAACUUCGGUUACAAAACAUGAUCAUCUCAUACAAUAAAAAUAUAGCAUCACGUCUUGACCAUAUCACAUCACAACAUGCCCUGCAAAAAUAAGUUAGACGUCCUCUACUUUGUUGUUGCAAAUUUUACGUGGCUGCUACGGGCUUAGCAAGAACCGUUCUCACCUACGCAUCAAAACCACAACGAUAGUUUGUAAAAUAGACUCCGUUUUAACCUUCGCAAGGACCGGGCGUAGUCACACUCGGUUCAACUAAAGUUGGAGAAACUGACACCCGCCAGCCACCUGUGUGCAAAGCACGUCGGUAGAACCAGUCUCGCGUAAGCGUACGCGUAAUGUCGGUCCGGGCCGCUUCAUCCAACAAUACCGCGAACCAAAGUAUGACAUGCUGGUAGGCAGUAUGACUUAUAUCGUCCACAGCUCACUUGUGUUCUACUCGUGCAUAUAACAUCAACGCAUAAAACCUAGGCUCGGAUGCCACUGUUGGGGAACGUAGUAAUUUCAAAAAAAAUCCUACGCACACGCAAGAUCAUGGUGAUGGCAUAGCAACGAGAGGGGAGAGUGUUCGUCAACGUACCCUCAUAGACCGUAAGCGGAAGCGUUAGCACAACGCGGUUGAUGUAUUCGUACGUCUUCACGAUCCGACCGAUCCAAGCACCGAACGUACGGAGCCUCCGAGUUCAGCACACGUUCAGCUCGAUGACGAUCUCCGGCCUCCAAUCCAGCCGAGCUCCGGAGAUGAGUUCCGUCAGCACGACGGCAUGGUGACGAUGAUGAUGUUCUACCGGCGCAGGGCUUCGCCUAAACUCCGCGACGAUAUGACCGAGGUGGAAUAUGGUGGAAGGGGGCACCGCACACGGCUAAGGAACGAUCCGUAGAUCAACUUGUGUGUCUAUGGGGUGCCCCCGCCCCCGUAUAUAAAGGAAGGAGGGAGGAGGGGGCGGCCUAAGGGGAGGCGCGCCCUAGGAGGGGGAAACCUACUCCAAGUAGGUUUCCCCCCUCCUUUUCCUAAUCCAAGAAGGAGGGGGAAGGAAGGAGUAGGAGAGGGGGAAGGCAAGGGGGGCGCCCCCCCCCCCCCUUUCUUGUCCUAUUCGGACUCAAGGGGAGGGGGCGCGCCACUUGCCCUGGCCGGCCCCUCUCUUUCUCCAAUAGAGCCCAUCAAGGCCCAUUACUUCCCGGGGGGUUCCGGCAAACCCUCCGGUACUCCGGUUUUCUCCGAAAACUCCCGGAACACUUCCGGUGUCCGAAUAUAGUCAUCCAAUAUAUCAAUCUUUAUGUCUCGACCAUUUCGAGACUCCUCGUCAUGUCCGUGAUCACAUGCGGGACUCCAAACAAACUUCGGUACAUCAAAACUCAUAAACUCAUAAUAAAACUGUCAUCGAAACCUUAAGCGUGCGGACCCUACGGGUUCGAUAACUAUGUAGACAUGACCUAGAACCAUUCUCGGUCAAUAACCAAUAGCGGGACCUAGAUGCCCAUAUUGGUUCCUACAUAUUCUAUGAAGAUCUUUAUCAGUCAAACCGCAUAACAACAUAAGUUGUUCCCUUUGUCAUCGGUAUGUUACUUGCCCGAGAUUUGAUCGUCGGUAUCCAAUACCUGGUUCAAUCUCAUUACCGGCAAGUCUAUUUACUCGUUACGUAAUGCAUCAUCCCGUGACCAACUCAUUGGUCACAUUGCUUGCAAGGCUUAUAGUGAUGUGCAUUACCGAGAGGGCCCAGAGAUACCUAUCCGACAAUCGGAGUGACAAAACCUAAUCUCGAAAUACGCCAACCCAACAUGUACCUUCGGAGACACCUGUAGAGCACCUUUAUAAACACCCAGUUACGUUGUGACGUUUGGUAGCGCACAAAGUGUUCCUCCAGUAAACGGGAGUUGCAUAAUCUCAUAGUUGUAGGAACAUUGUAUAAGUCAUGAAGAAAGCAAUAGCAACAUACUAAAUGAUCAAGUGAUAGGCUAACGGAAUGGGUCAAGUCAAUCACAUCAUUCUUCUAAUGAUGUGAUCCCGUUAAUCAAAUGACAACUCAUGUCUAUGGUCAGGAAACUUAACCAUCUUUGAUUAACGAGCUAGUCAAGUAGAGGCAUACUAGUGACACUAUGUUUUGUCUAUGUAUUCACACAUGUAUUAUGUUUCCGGUUAAUACAAUUCUAGCAUGAAUAAUAGACAGUUAUCAUGGUAUAAGGAAAUAAAUAAGAACUUUAUUAUUGCCUCUAGGGCAUAUUUCCUUCAAUACAAUGGUUUCAGAUGCAUUACUGGUUCUUUUGGCUUCUCGAAUAUUGCAUUUUUAGGGCCAAAAUCCAGUUGAGCCACCUCCCUUCUUCAUCUACAGCAUGAAACUCAUAAGCAAAGUAAUACACCAUAUUGAUAUCUAUACCUUCAUGAACCGGCAUAUACUCAUAGUCCAACAUAUCAUCCUCUUCCCUAAGUGCAUCCACUAAUUCUGAAAUCUGUCCAAGUGAGGAGGAAGUACUAGGUGAUGUAGACGAUGUAAUAAUUGCAUCGUCCUCCUUUGGUGGUGUGGGUGCUGCUGUGAUAGACAUUGAAGUUGUUGUAUCUUGUACUUGUUUAAGCCUCCGCACUUGUUUUGUUGGAACCAUAGGCUGAGUGGCAUUGAACAACUUAUCCCUUUGCUUCUCGGCCUCCUGUUCUGCCAUCUCUUGACUCCUUAUCCUCUGUAGUUUCCUCUUUUGUGUCUUUGUUAGCCCUGGAGGACACAACUUUUGGUGAGUGUAUUUAGGAUCUCUCGUCUUUACUGAAGGAAAUAUGCCCUAGAGGCAAUAUUAAAGUUGUUAUUUUAUAUUUCCUUAUUCAUGAUAAAUGUUUAUUAUUCAUGCUAGAAUUGUAUUAACUGGAAACUAAGGUACCCCCACUUUAGUACACCGACAUUCCCUCAUCCUGCGGUUACGUACGUUCUGAUGGAACGUGCUAAUAACCGCGGCAGGGUGGACGUCUGGGAUGUUGCGCGGCACCUGGCUGAAUCUCUGUAUGUACUUGCGCAGGGGUUCUCCCUCCUUCUGGACGAGUAGAUGAAGAUCGCUCUCCUGGCCAUGGGGUUUGUGGCCGCCUGUGAAGGCGCCGACAAACUGAUGGCACUGGUCCGCCCAUGAAGAGAUGGAGUUGUCCGGCAAGUGCAUGAGCCAAGAUCUGACGUUGGGCUUGAGCUCCAGCGAGAAGUAGUUGGCGAGGAUCUUCUCGUCGCGUCCCCGGCAGCCUGCACCGCGAUGGUGUAGACGCUGAGGAACUCUGACGGAUGUAUCCUGCCCUCGUACUUCUCGGGCACGUCUGGCUUGAAGUUCUUGGUACUGGGCCACUGGACCUGCCGCAGCUCACGGGUGAACGCAGGGCAACCUACCGCGUACGGCAAGUCGCCUGGUUCCCCUGGCGCAUGCAUAUCGACAGUGGGCCCAGCGCGCUGGUCAGAUUGAUGCUGCGCUUCUCUUCGACGCUCGAUGCGAGUGCGAGCGUCUUCGUGUCGUCGUUCUUGGAGAACUUGGCGUUGAUCGCGGCGAGCUCGUGGGUAUGACGACGCGGUGGAGUCGGUGUCGAGGUUGGCCCGGCGAGUCGGCGAUCUUGGCCUUCGGGGCGGGGAGUGCACGGUGGUGGCACCCCCGGCGGUCUUGUCGUCGUCGGCUUGCGCCUGGGCGUCUUGCUGGGGCUUCGAUGUGCUCCGUUGCCGGGGCUUGUCGCCGUUGGCGAAGCCGAUGAGGCUCUGAAUCGUGUCCCUCCAGUCGUCGAUCUUUUCUGGUGCUGGAGGGUAAUCUAGAAGCAGCUGGGCUCGGGCCAACGCUUCAUCUGGAGUCUUGGGUGGCGGUGGCGAGCGACGCGAGGUACGGGACAUGCUCAAACUUCUAACAGUGUUAGAAGGAGCAACAUCUCGUCCAGGCGACCGCACUGCGCUCGUGCCAACGUGUUGACAUGCAUGUUGGCCUUGAGCGUCCCGCGACCCACCAGCUUGGCCUUGUUCUAACGCGAGUACGGUGCUAGGAGCACCGUGGCGUUGUCGAUCCUGCACCUCCUGGGAGGAGUGCGGUGGAUGUGCAGACGCCGAAGCUUGCGGGGCCUUGUCCUUGGACCUGGUGACGACGUGAGUCCCACCGUCGGCGCCCGCUCCUCCGCCGGCGUCCACCCCACCGCCCGUUUGCUCCGGCGGCGGUGGAAUCGACGUAGACGGAGCGGCCACCUCCGAAGUCUUCUUCUUCGGUGGCAUGUCGAUGAAGAUGUUGAUGUAGCGCGCGCGGAGACCGGAUCAGGUUUGCACAACCUCGACACCCCCUACCUGGCACGCCAAAGAUGUCGUGGGGAACGAACACCUAUGGGGCAGGGCCCCUUUUCGGUCCGGCAGGGAGCGGAGGGCGCACGAAGAGCAGAUCGAGGUCGAGCACGCGGGGGAUUUUACCCAGCUUCGGAGCUCUUCGGAGAGAUAAAACUCCUACUGCUGCUUUGUGUUUCUAUUCUGUUCUUGCUCAAGAGCGUAGGUGUGUUGUAGUGUCGAAUGAGUCGAACCCCUUCUACGUGCGCAUGGGCCUCCUUUUUAUAGUCUAAAGGGGUCACCGACAGGUGGCAGCGUAGAAAGAGGGGUAAAAAAGUAAAAACGGGGGUUGGUACAACCGCUAUCUACAGUGCCCCCUACCUAACUCUGACGGCAGGGGACAAGGGCAUUUAAUGCCCGUCCGGCCGCUCAAACAGUGCAGGAAGCGACCGUUAGGGGCGCCACCGAUCGCCACGAUGGCUUCCUUGUCAGCUCCACUCGCUACCUCGCACCGCUUGGAUGCACAGCCGCCCGACACGUGCGCCAGGAACGAUCUUGGGGCGACACGUUGUUGGAUGCGCUGGAGCAUGGAUGCAGUGUGGUGGCUUCGACCGCGGCAAGCGCCUUGCCGCGGUUGUUGUCUUGUCGCACCCGCGAGCUUGUCGCUCGCCGGUCCUUUGCCGGGGUGCGCGGGGUGUCGCGGCAAGUUCCUCGCAGUACCUUAGUUGGCCUCCCCGGCAAGCUCCUCUUGCCGGGGUCUUGUCCUUCCCGGCAAGCUCCUCUUGCCAGGGCCUUGUCUUCUCAGUUAACACUUUGUUCUUGAAUGGCAGUAAAUAGGAAUAACGGAGGACCUUGGCGGACGCCCGGCAAGCCUUGCCGCGGGACGCUGCGACUGCCCGUGCACAAGUUCGGGGUACUAAGGUACCCCUACUUUAGUACACCGACACAGCCCGUCUCCGUAGAUUCUACGCCUAGCACCGGAUUCUGAGUUCGUCUCCCUCCCCCGUCCAUAUUUUAUACUUUAACUGUCUUUUAUUUUUCUCGCCCCCCCCCCCUUUUUCUCCUUUUUUUCUUCUUCUCUCACGGGCCUUCGGUGGCUCGCCUGCGCAUUGUUCGCACACACUUGACGUGCUAUUCGCACUCAUUAUACCUGGGGGCUUCUUUAACAGAAGCUGAUUUAUACGGGCUUUAUACCCAAUACAUGUGUCACACUUUCGCAUGUACCUUUUAUUCACAAUUAUAUGUAUCGAUAUGACUUAAGUUUUGGCCAAGCUGGGUCGCCUAGCUCCUGUGCUUACCCCUACGUUCCCGAUUGUUCGGCUAGGAGGUAAAGGGAGCACCUCUGCGAUUGUUACUACCGGGUCAGCCGGAUGUGUACCUUAGACUGGGUGAAGCCGAAAGCUAGCGUUCUUAAGGAAAUAUUCGGUCGGUGAAUUGAAAGAUGAUUUCUUAACUAUUUAUUUAUCUGCCCCCAGAUGCUUUUCUGCUUUUUUCGCAGUCUAGACAUGCACUUUAGAGCAUGCCUCCCAGGGAAAGGAACCCCUAACGGAACUAUUCUCCCUGGAAGAUGUUUCUUACUAACCAUGUAAUAUAACAUAACUAGUUGGGCACUUGUCUGAUAAAGCACUAAUGACCCCUACGCCUGGUCUCCAUGCAUGCCCCGUUUUUUUAUUAACCGUGAGGGUAUUCAGACACACUCCGGACUGUCGGGUCCCGAGGUUGAAGCGAAAAGGUCCGCAAUGACAAACGAUCUACAAUCUGGCUAGAAGGCAUUUUUCAUGUUAUUUUAAAUUAUACAGUCAAGCUGACUGAUGGUAUUCCUCUUUGAUACCAUCUAAUAAGCUGUCUAGUUUACAGUCCCGCUGUGAAUACUUUGCGGCCAACUCUACUUGGUCGUACACUAAGCUCACAGGGUUCUCCUUCCCAUCGGGCCCCACAAGUCCGACCUCGGCCAUGUGGUUCCGGUCGGCCUUCGCAUACCGUGUCUUCACCAUGGCCCAGGCCUUCCUGGCGCCUUGACGGCAGGCCGAGAUCUUCCACAACCGGAACGCCGCCGUGCUCCCUGAAGCUUCUCCGCAAGCUCUCCAAGACCUUUGGGUAGGGACAUGGAUGGCCACAAGGCCUGGGCGACUCCGCUCAUCACCUGCCAAACUCGUUCGUGCAGUUGCAGCAGCUCGGGAAGUAGGUCACCCGUUUAACCGGGCAUUUCCUCCCCAGGAUGACCCGUGAGCAAGCCUACAGACAUAUUUCUGUCAAUCGACUUCCUCGCCAAACUCUUCUUUUCAAAAGUUUGCUCAAGCACUUACUGUAAAUGCCGCGACAAAGCCGCCGAUUCUCCUUCACGGAGUCAGACAGCUGGGCCCGAACAUCUUUUAGUUCCUCGCCCAGCUGGGUGUUGGCAUCCUGGAGCUUAUUCCUCUCUUGCUGCACCCUCGUAAGCACCUUCUCGCCGGCCUUCAGCUGACGUAGUAGUUGUUGCUUGUCCGGAUCUAGUCCGGCGCCAUCUGCAAUAUUAUUGUCAGACUUACACACACGCUGCACUUCACAAGCUACUUAUCUUUCGAAGUAUAUAUUACCAGAGGGGGUCUCUGUGGCUCCCCCUGUAGCGGCUAGUGCGGCCCCAAGUUGGGCCUUGCACUCUUGAAGCUCCUGGGACAGGUGGGUAUUCUUCUCUGUAAGAUCAUGCAUAACAAAUGAUCCUUAAAUCAGUUAUUCUAACUAUUUUAAGUCUCGGGGGCUACUGGCAUAUAUCACUGUCAAAAUUCCUCACCCGUAUGUCUUUCACAUACUGCUCCGUGGCUCUGGCUAGACCAUCUUGAGCAGCACGGAGGUGCGCAUCUCCCGAAUUAAAGGCAUUUAACGCCUCCGGGGAGAAGCAAGCGUCACGAAGAACUGUCCGGCGGCGCCUGUGAUUCAUGGCGCUCUCCACCUCAGAUCGGGUGGCGGACAACCUGUCGGCGUCCUCCGUUGGAGGAGCACCCGACGCGCGCCUUGCGCUCGCCUCCCCCUCCGGACCUGGCGUUGGAGCCUGGCCAGCGGAGGCUUGAUCGGCAAUCUCUCCGGACACAGUCCGGCGAGCGCUCUUUCUCCUAGAAAAACCACGAGCGUUAAUAUGCCUUCUAGGAAUCUUUCCCGAAAACAUGGUGGCGCGCCAUACCAUUGCGGCGACGUGUCGAUUCGCGCCGCACUUCUUUUCCGCCUGCUGGGCCGAGCUGCCCCUUGUUGGCCAGCCACCGCAGGUUCGGCUUCCCGCCUCGAAGGCACCUCCUGCAGAACACCAUUGGUAUACAGUGGUCAGAGAUAAGCAUGGAUGAGUAAUGGUAUCAGGACUCCGGUCACAGUUACCUGGGAAACCGGAGAUAUUCCGGGGUAGUCGGCCGUAAUGGCGACCAAAGCAUUGUCAAUGCUAAGUUGGUGGAACACCCCAUCGAUCAGCUCCACCUUUAUGUCCGGAUCCUCUUCGGAGGCCGGAUCGAGGGAUCAUUCCGGAUCCUCGGGCUGUGGAGCCAGGCUGUGUAUGUCCUCUACGGCCCAGCACAGUUCCUCCGUCGAAAUCACAGAAUGAGGCACUUAACUUUGGGAAUAUGGAUCGGAUAGAUAAACGUCCCCUUACCUAGCUCCGAGGGUUGUUCAUGGAAAAUCCAUUCAAUGGACUAGCACGGAGGAAGUCUUCCUUCUCCCCUUUGUACAGGCCGGACAGGAUCUUCACCAGAUCGGCGACCGAUCCCGGCCCCUUGCGGCCAUGGCGGGUGGCAUCAUCCUCCCCGUUGAAAUCCCACAUGGGGUGGCCCCUAUACUGGAGCGGCUGCACCCCUCGCAUAAUGCAUGUGGCCAUGACCCCAAUCAUGGUCAAUCCGAAAUGAGCCAAUAACAUUAUUCGGCCUAUCAGAUAUUGGACGUCCCUAUCAUUCUCCCGUGGAGGGCUCCGUGGGCGCCAACUCAGGCGUUUCUUCAGAGGAGCGUUGCUGAACUCCGGGAGGCCGAUCCGAACUGGGUCCGGUAGCGGGGCGUCUUCCAUAUAAAACCAUUCCGAAGGCCAGUCUUCGGACGCCUUCUUCGGGGUUCCGGAUAGAUAUCCGGUCCCGGCGAUGCGCCAUAGUUCGGCUCCGCCCACUUGAUAUAUCGACCCCUCAUGAGAACGGGGUACGAGGCAAAAUAAUCUCUUCCACAGCGCGAAGUGGGCCUCAACGCCCAAGAAAAGCUCGCAAAGGGCCACGAAGCCCGCGAUGUGCAGGAUGGAGGCGGGUGUAAGGUGGUGAAGCUGGAGCCCAUAGAACUCUAAGAGCCCCCGGAGAAACGGAUGUAUGGGAAAUCCGAGUCCCCUUAUUAGAUAAGGGACUAAGCAUACCCGCUCUCCUUUGGAGGGAUUGGGGAUGCUCUCCGCCUGCUUUCCGCCCUUGUAGGUGGCAAGUCCGGCUCGAACCGGAACCAUAAAGGCUGGGGGGAGAAAUCCCUCAGUUUGGAGCGUCACUAGCUCACUAUGCGGGUCUGAGCAUCUCCCCCAAUCUCCUGGCUAAGGGCUAGGAGCGCGAGAGGAGGAGCCGCGUCGACCGUCCAUGAUGGAGUGGAUUUUUGUCAGAGGCGCUUCGAUGAACACUCGCGGAAGGAGGAUGGUGUGAUUCGGAUCUAGAUCCUCGCCUCUCUUUAUAGACAGCUUAUUCGCGCAGCCAGGGGGUAAAAUGUAAAAAUACCCUGGCUUUUCGCAUUCGUACGACACGUGGAGGAUGGCCAUUAUUGGACGUGGAAGCCAAGAAGCGCAGCAUUUAUAAGAAGCCGGACACCAUUCGGCAAGCACAUGGAAUUUGGAGGAGAACCCGCCUUGCAAUGCCGAAGACAAUAUGCGCGCCGGACUCGUCGUCAUUGAAGCCUGGUUCGGGGGCUACUGAGGGAGUCCUGGACUAGGGGGUGUCCGGAUAGCCGAACUAUCAUCAUUGGCCGGACUCCAAGACUAUGAAGAUAGAAGAUUGAAGACUUCGUCCCGUGUCCGGAUGGGACUUUCCUUGGCGUGGAAGGCAAGCUUGGCGAUACGGAUAUGUAGAUCUCCUACCAUUGUAACCGACUCUGUGUAACCCUAGCCCUCUCCGGUGUCUAUAUAAACCGGAGGGUUUUAGUCCGUAGGACGAACAACAAUCAUACCAUAGGCUACCUUCUAGGGUUUAGCCUCCUUGAUCUCAUGGUAGAUCCACUCUUGUACUACCCAUAUCAUCAAUAUUAAUCAAGCAGGAUUAGGGUUUUACCUCCAUCGAGAGGGCCCGAACCUGGGUAAAAACAUCGUGUCCCUUGUCUCCUGUUACCAUCCGCCUAGACGCACAGUUCGGGACCCCCUACCCAAGAUCCGCCGGUUUUGACACCGACAGGGAGGCCACUUGAUCACACUUAAUCCACAAAGAUUUCAGAUUUCAGAAUGUGCCACUUUAUAUCUGUUAUGCGGCCUCUGUUACACAUAAUUUGGUCCUACAGAUGUCAGGUUUCACAAUGUGCCAGCUUAAUGUCAGUUGUUCAGCCUCUGUUACACAUGAUUGAGCUAUUGCCCUUGUGUCUUCAAUUUUGCUUUCGCAAGUUCUUAGUGUUGAAAGCAUUAUUGUUCUACAUUUUAAAUGUACUGGUCAUGCCACUCUUUUUUUCCUUUCUCUGUAGCUAAAGCCUUAGUGAGAAUGUUUAGACUGAUUUUUCACUUUGUAGUACUUAUUCCAUAUGUCAUCCGGGCAUAAUAGUGUCAUCUCAACUAAAGAAACUUGGAAGGGUGAAUUUUUUUUCAAAUCCAUGUUGUGCUUCAAACUCAGAAGACUCGAAAAAACAUAAUUCUCUUUGACCUCUCUUACACCAAUCCUUUAGGAAAUGUUUGAAAUACUUCUUCCAUAUUGAGAUGGAAUACAUAUAGUCAGUGACACGCUUUUGAAUUCAUAUAGACAGUUCAUCAUAGAAAAUAUAGUGCACUAUAUUUUGCGUCAUAUAUGCAUUUAGAAUACAUUGUUACUAUUUUAUCAAUCAUUCUUACUGGUUUCUAAUCAUGAUAUUUGGCAUACCAUUACUUUUCCUCUACAGGAAGAUGACUAGCUUUGAAGUUGCCCCCUGCAAGUUACUAUCACAGGAUAUGUCCGGGCGGCAAGAAUCGUGUGAUGGUUACUUCCAAUUCUUCGUUGCAAUUUAUUGAUGGUUUGCUUGUUCCGACCUCAAUAUCGGGUGCAAUUUUAUGUGCCUAUCAAGAUGCGGAAGACAGUGAUGCUAUCGCAGCUAUCAGGUACAUGGAAAACGCAUCCGGUAGAGAAAUGAGAGACUACCACUACACCCAUGUCAAGAGGCUAAAAAUGAAGUCAAGCAUCUGGUCAGAUGGUUGGUAGCAGCGAACCAGACAAUCAAGAAGCUAUGCAAAGAGUGGUACUACGCCGUCAGAUAUAUGAGUUCGUAUUCUAUUCAAAUGCAAAACACAACGACUGCUCAACACUUGACAGGGCAAGAUAACACCAAAGGGGCUAUGAAAGCAUCACUUGCAAGCUUUGAAAGACUGACACAGAGGCUGCGCUAUAUUGGUACGAAGUCUGAACAGCACCUGGAGACUACAAGAGCAAGCUUUUGGUGAACUUCGGUCAAUAUGCGCUCACCAGGAUGCUUCUAAGCUUACUAGAACAACUGCCCACUACUAGGGAAAAGCCUAUACACAGAAUCUUACUAGUAGCGAGGGUUUAACCCUCGCUACUGCUAGUUACUAGUAGCGCAGGUUUUUAAACCCCACUACUACUAAGUUGAUAGCAGUAGCGCGGGUUUUUAACCCUCGCUACUACUAAGCGGUCUCUACCGUGCCCCCCGGGACACGCCAUAGUAGUAGCGCGGGUUUAUAACCCUCGCUACUACUAAGUUGAUAGCAGUAGCACUGAUUUUUAGCCCUCGCCACUACUAAGUGGUGCCAUAGUAGUAGCGAGGGGUAAAACCCUCGCUACUACUAAGUUGAUAGCAGUAGCGCUGGUUUUUAGCCCUCGCUACUACUAAAGGUCCCAUUUUCAAACUGUACCCCCCCUGUGGAUCGCCUUUUCAGUUUAAAAAAAAUAAAAGAAAAUGAUGAAAAUGUCAAAAAAAAAUAGAAGAAAAUAAGUUUCCCAUGUGAUAUGUGGUCUAGUUGUUGCGAAAAUUUGCAAAUAUGAAUUUCGACUUUAUUUGCAAAAUCUCUCGAUAAUUUGUAAAAAUGGGCGUAACUUUUGCAUACUAACUCGGAUGAAAAGGUUUUUUAUAUGAAAAAUCAUCUACUCAAAAAGUUACAUCCAUAUUUUCAAAAUCCUCAAAAACCUAACAGAAAAAAAGUUACUGGGCUUUUAAGAUCUGGAGGCAAAAAAAAUCAUCAAAUUUCAGUUUUUUAAUUUUUGUUAAAUCUGGUCAAACUAUGGUCAAACUAAUUAUUCAAGAAUAUUAGUGUUACUAAAUAAUUAUUUUAGUUUUAUGAAUUUUGAUGAAAUCUGGUCAAACUAUGGUCAAACUGUGGUCAAAUCUAGUCAAACUGUGGUCAAACUAAUUAUUCAAGAAAUAUUAGUGUUACUAAUUUUUUAGAACAAUAGUUUCAAACUCAAACAGUGAAAUGUGUGACUUCAUGCUCAAGCUAAAUCCCGAGGUUAAUAGGAUUGACAUCUUACUAUUGUCAGGAAAAUAACAAGUGCAGACUUGGAAACGAGGGAGAAUAGAACCCGGAGGUUAAGUGUGCUCAGGGUGGAGUAGUGAGAGGAUGGGUGACCGUCCAGGAAGUUAGAUGAUUUGGAAUGACUAGUAAGAGUGCCCGUGCAAUGCACGUCUCAAAUGUUAACCAAGCGAGAAUGCAUGGUAUAAAAUUGAAGUAAUUCUUGCCUGAAUAUAUAAAAUAAAUGGAUCCAAAAUGUUGACACGUCAUUCAGAUUGUAUUUUAUAGUUGUGGUUAUGUUGCUGCACAGAAUAACACACCCUGCAUCCAAUGCAGGCCUAUAUGGCAGUAGACCUUGCUGAGCGUGCAUCCUUGCAGUGCCAUUCAUGGUAGCCACGCCGCCGCGGUGGCCUAGUUGAAGGGCAACUAAUCUCGAUGACUACAACAAGGGAUUCCUAUUCCUACCAUAAGCGCACACACUUUUGGCAUGAUAUGAGGCAGUCCGUCAAUCAGUGCCCAAUGUAUGGUCGGUAUGCGACUGAUCCGUUGAGGUUAUCUCGACCUGUUUGGGGAGUGGGCCUGACCAAUCAACGUUAGUAAAAACUAACAUGACAUAUCAAUUUUUUCAUUUCUACACCAAUGUACUAUAUAGCAAGAUUUUUUUCAGGUUUAGGCAUGUAUGUAGAGCAAGCUUUUCUCAGGUUCAGACAAAUAGACAGUGCCCAACUGGCUAGAUAUCUCAACGUCUAUUGUUGCAAAUUGCAGUGCACAAAUCAGCAUAAUUCAUGGACAUGUUUUUAAUUGUCAGCCUUCUUGGUGCACCCAAAAUCAGCAUAAUUCAUGGAUAUGUUUUUAAUUGUCAGCCUUCUUGGUGCACCCAGAUAGCAUCAACGACUCUGCAAUAAUUGCUCAAUUUUUCCUCUGUAAAACCAUGGUUGGUUCUCAACUAGACAUGGUAAAACUAACGACUCAGAUAGCAUCUUCAGAAUUAUCAAGCAUGAUAUAGGCAAGAGUUGGUGAUAUUUCCCUGAAUUGUUGUUGUUUAUUGGGUCCUGAAUUGGUGUCCGUAACCCAUUACUAUGUGAGCACAUCAUAUGCAGCUGUGAAUCAAAAAUGGACAGAAAGUAGCAGCUUUCAUGGACAUUAAUAAACACAAUGGCGGUGCUAAGACACUUUCAAAUUGGCAUUCAUCAACCAACACGAGUGUUCUCCGAUCAUAUUAUCGGAUCCUGAGAAGGUCAAUCAGACCCAAAGAACAAAGCGGCCAGGGCCAGCCCUGAUAUUUUAGGAGCCCUAUGCAAAUAAAUAAAAUAUGGCCUUGGUGUGCAUAUAAUUACAGAACCAUUUUAUUUCUAUUGCAAUAGCAAAACAGUGCAUGUAAAGCAAUUUAUCCAAACAUUCGUGGAUGCAAACUUCUGGGAUUCAAUCCUAUAUUUGUCUACUAGAACUUGUAUUACUAUUUAUCUUAAAAAUUUGUCUAUGAUCUGGGAUUCAACCAACUCAUCUCCUCGUCUUUUUUCUUCUGUUGUUUGUCAUUCCUGGAUAAAUAUUUCCUAGCUACAUGACACCUUAGCACACAAACAAUUUAUUAGUUAUAGCAUGAUCCUGAAACAAAAGCACCUGGAUGCUUGAAGCUGGAUUGGGUUCCCUGCUUUGUUGACUGCUGUAAUGUCGACAGAGGCAUAAAAGAAAUUUAGCAAUCAGGGAAAGUGGGCAGUGGCGCAAAGCCCGGUACCAAUCUCUUUUGACCUUCUCCUGAAUCCCUAUGCUGUAUCAAGCCAAUGUAGAUCUGAGAAUCAGGAGGCACAAGAUCAUGGAACGACAUAUAUCUAAUAGAAUGGGGAAUAUAAAAUGAAUCCGAGUGCUAUGUAGAACGGGAUUUCUACCAACCGUUGCAAACUACUACAUGAUUUGUAAUUAAUCUCAACCCAUGAAAUUGAUAACUGUGCAGUCAUUCUUCAUAGGCACCUUGCCUUGACAAUGAUACGCUUUCAUACUACAUGACAUGUAAUUUGUUGGGUAUGAACAGAUCGGGAUCUCGUCCUCCAUUGAUGGUGUCAAAGCGGACAAAAACUGCAACAAGCAACGGCGAGACAAGGAAAUGAACUAUGAUCUAAAGGAAGAGGUGAGGGAAGUGGCGGGCGUCGCUGGGUGAUUGCUCUCUCGCUGCACAAGAGUUUCCAGCCGCCAAUGGAGAGCCCAAUCAGCUCACAUUGACACAGGGGAAAAAAAGUAUGUGCAAGCACAACGUCAUAAAGAAUCACAUGGUGCAGGAAUUGGUAUACCCAAAAUCCAACUAACCCAAUCAAUGGAAAUGCCAUUACUAACAAAAAAGAUUAAUGUAGGGCAAGGGGAACGAAGAUUGCUCACGGGAAAAGAUGGCAGCGUCUCAACCAGCGGAUUCGAGGAGAGCAGACGGGCGUCGGCCUCGGCAGCCAGAAAUCUGAAGGCUUCGCGUGGAGGAGGCGGCCGCCUUCAGCCUGGACGUACGUUGGUCGGCUGCCGAGCGAAGAGGCGGCCGGCGGAGACCCGCGCGUCAGGAGAGCUCGACGGCUAGAGGUGGCCGGCGGCCGAGCGAAGGUGCGGCGGGCGGAGACCCGUGUGAAAGAAGACCUGACAGCGGGCGUGGGGCGGAGGUGCCGGUGGAGAGGAGCAGCGGCGGCGGUCCAGUAAAGAGAGGCGAGGAGCGGCGGCGACGGCGAAAUCAGAGGCAAGGCGAGCGGCAGCUGAGGGUCGGGUCUUCUUUCGUCCAUGCGGGGAUGUUGUUUUUUUUGGUGCACGACUUGUGCGGGCGUGGGCAGAGUUUUCGUCCGCGAGGGUAAAUUGCUAAGCGUACUCUUGUCUGAUUGUUACGGUAAUCUUGACGAUUAGAUUAAGUUAAGUGAUUUGAUCGUGAGGCUGUAACUGGUCCGUGUUGUUACGUGUAGCUUAGGCCUGGUACACUUAGCGUUGAAUACGUUUUCUUGUUUAAUAGUAGUAAAGAUGAGGGAUGAUUAGAGAUUAAAUUGAGCAGCAAUGAGGGGUAAUUAGAGAUUUGAGGUUAAAAUUAUUCAGAAAUUUAAAAUUAGUGGAAAAAUCGACAUUUUUUCAAAAAAAUUCAAAAAAAAUAUCAGAGAUUAGAGAUUAGUAGUAGCGCGGGUUUUUACCCACGCUACAACUAAAGGACGUAGUAGUAGCGCGGGUGGCACCCGCGCUACUGCUAUACGUUAGCUGUAGCGCCUUAUUAGUAGUGCCGGCCCCCGCGCUACUAAUAGGCCCAAAACCCGCGCUGCUGCUAGGCUUUUCCCUAGUAGUGGCCUUUUGUUUCAUAUCAAGCAGCAUGGUCUAUUUGUCCUUUUGGAGCACUCUAAGUAAGAUAUGUAUUGUAGCCUUCCAUUGCUGCCUCUUUGGCUAAAAGCAGUGUAUCAACUUUAAAUUCCGUUGUUACCUAUAUGGUUAAACUCAGUUUGUCAUCGCUUGUUCUCCAUGUAAAUAACUAUCCUUCUCCUGCUAUUUUCAGAAGACUACAUAGUUAAACCACCUCUUUCCUGUCCAUGUAUUGAAGUCCAUGACCGUAUUUACUCACAUACUGUGUAUAAAACAACAUAAAUACAUAUAAUAAACCACAUUUUUACUUCAUAAUAUUUAUGCCAAAUAUUUGUCUUUCUUUAUGGCAAACAAACAAAUUAAUCAAUUGAAAUUUAUACACUCUUAAAAACUAUGCAUAUCUACUGGUAAAAAAGAUUCAGACGCUUUUAAAUAUGCAAGCUCUACCUUUUCAAAUUCCUCGGCCUUUGCACCAUGGGCGAACAUCACAAGUUCUAUUAGCUCGUGUAGUAUAUGCUGAAACUCUUGGUUGUGCGCUUUUGAGUAACCCACGAGCUAGCAAACAAAACUCCUUUUCUAUAUCAACGUCAUGUACUAAGAAUGCUUCAAAAAACGUUAAUUCCAGACAAAAUUCACAAACAUUUUUAAAAUAUUUCAUAAAUUUUAUAAAACAAAUACUAAGUAAACUAAGAACAACUCAUCCAUUCCUCACAGGAAGAAAAAUAGCUCCUCUAUACCUCACAGGGGAAAAAAUUCAUCCAUUCGAAACACGGUAGUGCCACCCACUGCUGCACCGCGAGUUACCCCAGGCCCAUGUACCUUUCAAGCAAACUAGCUCACCGGCCCAACACGAGUAAAAUAGGAGCAGAUGCCUCCUCUUCCAGUUGUAAAUAUCACCCUGAUUAUAGCACAUAAAUAACCUACCCGGCUGCCCAGAAACGCCCUUCUCCCCAUUUCACUCACCUUCUGCCUCUAGGGUUUCCCCCGAUACAAUGGCAAGGUGCAGGAUCUGCCGCCAGUACUGGAGACACCUUGUCAAGCACCACGGCUACGCAGAUCCAAGCCGCCGUCGCGCACCGGACAGUCAUCAUCUCCAGCCAUCGUAUUCUUCUGCGGCAAUGACCUAAUCUCACGCGCGGGAGGCACCCCGUCGACAAGCGCCGCCUUCUUCUGCCUCAACGACGGCCACCAAUUCCGAAUCCCAACAGGUGCGACUCACACUGAGUUUUAGAAUUGCUCAAUCUUUUUUUAUCCAUGAAUCCACCACCACCUGCCUCUCCAUCCUUUGGCAAAUACUUCAGAUUUUCACAAAUUUUCAGACCUUUCUGACAUAAUUACAUACAACCUCUGUAGUUAUUUACUUCAAUGAUUUAUGUACCUGCUAUGCAUCACACGAUCCAUACUGUGGGCAUGGUACUGAAAAUUUAAAAUAUAGGUGGUCAAAGAAGGGAUAUUCUUGUGUUGCUCUAGCAGAAUACUGUACUAUCGGGUAAACAUACCCCAAAAAAUCCAUCAUGUGUUCCUCUUUUGUUUCCGUAUGUCUCUCUAAAUAUUGGUCAACCUCGCCAAGAGACGGGCACACAUAAAUGUUUCCCCUAUAUUUUUUUUCAUUUGCUUGCCUGGCUAGAAUAGUAUGGUGAUGGUAUGGAUUGAUCAUAUCCGAAGGUCAUUAUAUGCAAGCCUUAUCUUUUCUGAGAGGCAGAUAAUCGGCUAAUAAUUAGAAACAUGGUUCUUUACUAUUUCAGGUGUAAUUUUCAUCUUUGUCCUGCUGCUUAGUUCUGCUCCCUGCUGUGCUACAUACCAUCUAAGUAUUCUAAUCUUUGUUGGUGUUCGGUUUGGUAUGCUUGAGGUGGGGGUGUUUUGGUUGUCACAACAACACUUGGGUUCUCUAUAUGAAAUCAAGGGAGGAAUACCUUUAAUUCAAAAAAAUGUCAUCGUUGUCGGAGUAUUGGCUAAGAUGGUCAAGGCUAAUUAUUUUAGGCAUCUACUCCUUCAGUUCGUGUGUUACCGACGAACUGGUUUAAAACCCUUGUUGGAGCUUACCAGGCUUGAUCCUUCGCCUACCCCACUCCCUAUAGUGGUAUUUCUGAAACUUCGCUACGCUUGCUUUUCCCCCCAACAAGCAGUAAUCCAAUCACGGGUGCAUCUGGUACUACGUGUGAGAGCAUCAAACUGCUCACUCAUAAGACAGGAUUUCCAUUUGACUGCUCUUUUACAGUGCAUGAUUUAAUUGUACACCCACAAUUGCUAUUCCAUCAACCAAGUAUCUGAAGUCUCACACUAACAAUUCUCAUGGUAUUUAUACAGGGUGAAGAAUACAAACAUUUGGAGUACAUCAUUCGAGGUGAGCCAAUGCCAGGCUACAGUGCUUACCAAACUGUUCUGUUAUGCUCCAUCGUUUACCAAUUCUUCACAACUUAAGAUAUGUAUAUGGUGGAUAUAUAGUGGUUAGAUUGGUAAACUUGAAUUGGGGCUUGAGAGGUUGUGGUACCUUGACUUAUGUUUCUGAUGCUACGCGAAAUCAAGGGCAAUUAUUUUCCAUUUAAAUUCAGUAUAGAUCAUAGAAAAAAAAUAUAAGGCCAAUCAAUAAUACUCAACUUAACUAACUUGCUUACUAUAUUCUUCUUACCAUAGGUUUAAAGUUUAACUUUACUAUUCUCUUGAUGAAAUCUUAGUCUGCUAACAAUAGAUAGUAUUCAACCUUCGUACUUGUACCGCGUCAUUUCGAUCUUACCAAAGCGAAACUAAAUUCAGGACCACCCCCUGCUAUCCAAUACUGCGGAGAGCUUGAAAAGUAUUGUCACAGGGGCAAUGAAGUGAAGCUCUAUCGGCACCAUCACUAGUAGAAAAAGGGUCAAACGUGAAGCACAUUAGUGCCGGUUUGUAUUAGAGCCGGCACUAAUGUAUACAUUAGUGCCAGUUCCAACGGCUAGCCGGGCCGCUCUCAUUAGUACCGGUUCGUGGCUAACCUUUAGCACCGGUUCGUGCCACGAACCGGUACUAAUGAGGGUGGUGGCCGGAUGUUGUCAGUCUGGGCCCCCUCCGGUACUAUAGGUCCUCCUGCAUAUAAACCCUUCGUCCAGCUUGCUCUGUUCUUCCCCCUUUCCCCUCUCCUCUCCUCUCUGUUCUUCCUCUUCCCCUCGAGCUCACCACAAAAUUUGCCCAAAAUUUGUCAAGAUUUGAAGGCCCCCAUCCAUUCAAAUGAUCACAAAGGUUAGCAACUUUGUCCUUUCAUCUCUCAUUGCUAGAUUAGCUCUUGCAAUGCUUUAUAUAGUUACUAAUUUGUGAGUUUAGUAAUUUGGGAGGAAAUAUAUAUAUGUGCUAGUAUUUGAUUUAUAUGCAAUUUGAGGUCAAAAAUAACACUUAGUUUGCAUAUGUAGGUGUGGUUUACUUAGUGCCUUCUAAAUCUCUGUCGUAACCACCGUCGAUCGCCCGCACCGUCCCGUCACCGGCACCACCUUGUGGUGAGCCUCUUGUUCAUGUAAUUUUAUAUAAAAAAUUGAUGUUUGUGUGAUUUGGAUAUAUAGUUAAUCAUGUAAUAAUUAUCUUACCCGUACGUUGUUUGUUAUACAUAGUGCCAUGGUUUUGAUAUCCGUCCCCGUCGGCCCUCGUCCUUGUUAUGAUUCGGAUGUGGUAUAUUCUCUUUUAAAACUAUUAGUUGCAUUUCGUGUUUAUGACAAAUUAUGCCCAUCAAGUUGACAUAGAUAUUUUUAUCUAGGAGGUAUGUGAACCGGAAAUUCCAACCGACCCUAUUGUCGAGAGGUUAAAUUUAGUUGACAGAGAAAACGAGUACUUGAAAGAAAAAUUGAAAAGAAUUGAGGGGGAGAAGAUGGAAUUGGAGUUGCAUGUUGCCGAUGUCGUCGAUGAUCACAAGAUCAAGAUGGAGAAAAUGCGCUUGAAGAAUAGAAAGAUUAGAAAAUAUGCCAUCGAUAGUGAGGCUUGGUAUCAUUAUGCUGUUGGAUCAAUUGUUACCUUAGUUGCGAUCUUGAUCGCAUUUGUUGUUGCAUUUAAAUGCUUUAGCUAGAGAGUUAUUUGUUUGUUGCAUUUAAGUGUUGUAUGAACUUUAUGUAUGAACUUGUAUUAAUUUGGUCUAUUCGGUGUUGUGUAAUGAAGAUGAGCCGGCAAUGGAUGUACGAUGACCGAUGCUCACCCCAGUUCGUUGAGGGCGUGCAUACUUUUCUGCUUGCGGCUGAGGCAAACAAGCGGGCGGAUGGUUUUAUGCCUUGUCCAUGUGGUGUCUGUAAGAAUGGUCACAAUUACUCUACGUCAAGAACCAUUCACGUCCACCUGUUUGAGUCCGGUUUCAUGCCCCACUAUAAUGUUUGGAUCAAGCACGGAGAAAGAGGGGUUAUGAUGGAAGACAAUGAAGAAGAAGAGGACGACGACAGCUAUCCUGGCCAUGGGUUCCCUGAAUACGAUGAUACAACAAUGGGGGAAGAAGCUGAGCCGGUAAUGCGGGAAGAAGCUGAGCCGGCAAUGCGGGAAGAAGCUGAAGAAGAGGCAUCAGAUGAGCCCGUUGAUGAUCUAGGUCGGGCCAUUGCCGAUGCAAAGAGAAACUGCGCAAGUGAUUUGGAGAAGAAGAAGUUGCAGCGCAUGUUAGAGGAUCACAAAAAAUUGUUGUACCCGAAUUGCGUAGGUGACAAGAAAAAGCUGGGCACCACACUAGAAUUGCUGCAAUGGAAGGCAGAGAAUGGUGUAUCUGACAAGGAAUUUGGAAAGUUGCUGGUAAUGAUAAAGGAUAUGCUUCCAAAGGACAACGAAUUGCCCGAGAGUACGUACGAAGCAAAGAAGGAUGUCUGCCCUCUAGGGUUAGAGGUGCAAAAGAUACAUGCAUGCCCUAAUGAUUGCAUCCUGUACCGCGGUGAGUACGAGGAUUUGAACGCUUGCCCGGUAUGUGGUGCAUUGCGCUAUAAGAUCAGCCGCGAUGAGCCUGGUGAUGUCGAGGGCGAGGGCCCCAGGAAGAAGAUUCCUGCCAAGGUGAUGUGGUAUUCUCCUAUAAUACCACGGUUGAAACGUUUGUUCCAAAACAAAGAGCAUGCCAAGGCGAUGAGAUGGCACAGAGAAGACCGUAAGAAAGACGGAAAGUUGAGAGUACCCGCUGACGGGUCGCAGUGGAGAAAAAUCGAAAGAAAGUACGGGAAGGAGUUUGCAGAUGACGCAAGGAGCGUAUGGUUUGGUCUAAGCGCAGAUGGCAUUAAUCCUUUUGGGGAGCAGAGCAGCAACCAUAGCACCUGGCCUGUGACUCUAUGUUUGUAUAACCUUCCUCCUUGGUUGUGCAUGAAGCGGAAGUUCAUUAUGAUGCCAGUGCUCAUCCAAGGCCCUAAGCAACCCGGCAACGACAUUGAUGUGUACCUAAGGCCAUUAGUUGAAGAACUCUUACAGCUGUGGAAUGGAACAGGUGUACGUGCGUGGGAUGAGCACAUGGGGGAAGAAUUUGACCUCAAGGCGUUGCUGUUCGUGACCAUCAAUGAUUGGCCUGCUCUCAGUAACCUUUCAGGACAGACAAACAAGGGAUACCGCGGAUGCACGCACUGUUUGGAUGAUACCGACAGUAUAUAUUUGAAUAGUUGUAAGAAGAAUGUGUACCUGGGACAUCGUCGAUUUCUUCCGAGCAGGCAUCCCGUAAGAAAGAAAGGCAAGCAUUUCAAAGGUGAGGCGGAUCACCGGACGAAGCCUCGCCAUCGUACUGGUGCUGAUGUACAUGAUAUGGUCAAGGAUUUGAAGGUCAUAUUUGGAAAGGGUCCUGGCGGACAACCUGUUCCGAAGGACGCGGACGGACGCGCACCCAUGUGGAAGAAGAAAUCUAUAUUUUGGGACCUGCCAUAUUGGAAAGACCUAGAGGUCCGCUCCGCAAUCGACGUGAUGCACGUCACGAAGAAUCUUUGUGUGACCCUGCUUGGCUUCUUGGGCGUGUAUGGGAAGACAAAAGAUACACCUGAGGCACGGGAGGACCAGCAACGUAUGCACGGAGAAGACGGCAUACAUCAGGGUCAUGCAAGCUACGCUCUUACCAAAGAAGAGAAGGAAAUCUUCUUUGAAUGCCUGCUCAGUAUUAAGGUACCGUCUGGCUUCUCGUCGAAUAUAAAGGGAAUAAUAAACAUGGCAGAGAAAAAGUUCCAGAACCUAAAGUCUCAUGACUGCCACGUGAUUAUGACGCAACUGCUUCCGGUUGCAUUGAGGGGGCUUCUACCGGAAAACGUUCGAUUAGCCAUGUGAAGCUAUGUGCAUUUCUCAAUGCAAUCUCUCAGAAGGUAAUCGAUCCAGAAAUCAUACCAAGGUUACAGAACGAUUUGGUGCAAUGUCUUGUCAGUUUCGAGUUGGUGUUCCCACCAUCCUUCUUCAACAUCAUGACGCACGUCCUAGUUCACCUAUGCGAAGAGAUUAACGUUUUGGGUCCUGUAUUUCUACACAAUAUGUUCCCCUUUGAAAGGUUCAUGGGAGUCUUAAAGAAAUAUGUUCAUAACUGUGCUAGGCCAGAAGGAAGCAUCUCCAAGGGCCAUCAAAAUGAGGAGGUCAUUGAGUUUUGUAUUGACUUUAUUCCUGACCUUAAGCCGAUUGGUGUUCCUGAAUCGCGGCAUAAGGGCAGACUGGAUGGAAAAGGCAUGCUUGGAGGGGAACAAAUAAUAUGUAUGGACGGACAUUCUCUCACUGAAGCACACUACACAGUUCUACAGAAUUCCACCUUGGUGGCUCCGUAUAUGGAUGAACACAAGAAUUUGCUACGCUCCAAACACCCGGAGCGGUCUGAUGAGUGGAUUACACGUGAACAAAGCAGGAGUUUCGCCAACUGGUUCCAGACACGUACCAUGCAUGCCACCUCUAUUGAAGAUGACCUGUACUUGCUGUCCCAGUUACCAUCUUCUAAUAUAAUGACUUUCAAAGGGUACGAGAUAAAUGGUAAUACAUUUUACACGAUUGCCCAAGAUAAGAAGAGCACCAACCAAAACAGUGGUGUCCGCUUUGAUGCAGAAACCAAGACGGGAAAGGAAACAUAUUAUGGUUAUAUACAGGACAUAUGGGAACUUGACUAUCGACGUGGUUUAAAGGUCCCUUUGUUUCGGUGCAAAUGGGUCAAUAUGACACGAGGCGGGGUAAAGGAAGACCCGCAGUACGGAAUAACAACAGUGGAUCUCAACAAUCUUGCGUAUGCAGACGAACCAUUCGUCCUAGCCAAUGAUGUGGCACAGGUUUUCUAUGUGAAGGACAUGUCUACCAAGCCAAGAAAAAGAAAAGAUAAGGAAGCGAAUGCAUCGUACGAUGAGCCAAAGCGGCACAUAGUUCUUUCUGGGAAGAGAAACAUCGUGGGAGUGGAUGACAAGACAGACAAGUCAGAAGAUUAUGAAAAGUUUGAUAAAAUUGCUCCAUUCACAGUGAAUAUUGACCCGAGCAUCCCGUUAAAUGAUGAAGAUUUUCCAUGGUUACAGCGCAAAGGGACACACGCGAAGAAAAAGUUUCACACCAAAAGAUCUGGGAUGUGAUCGGCUUCACUAUCAUCACUUUCUUCUGUGUUUCACACCCAGGAGGGAAUGUCUGUAAUAGUUAGGGUAGUUAUGUGUUUUGGCAUUUGAAACGCGAAGAAAUUUUAUGUGCAAACAAAUUCUUUUCAUGCAUUUACUGAUUUUUUUUCCAGCUAAAUGACCCUGAAAUUGAAAAGCAAUUCAAAUGAACUCAGAAAAGGUUGAAAGUUGGCAUGGUAUCAUAAUUUCAUAUAAAUAGCAUGUGCAAGAAAGUAGAGAGGGUUACGACAAAAACUGGAUGCACUUCGUGUACAAAAUGGACAAUCUCUUUCGAAGUAUCAGGGUUUCCGACGAAAACUGAACUGUUACAAAGGCAUUUCAUUUUUUAAAUAACCUAAGCAUUACUAAAUUGAAUAUAAUGAUAAAACACACUAAUAUUGAACAUAAGAAAAAAGAAUCACUGGAAAAACUUUUUUCAAAGUUAAGUUAUUCACAAACUAGUGAUUCACACAAAUUUCAAAUAAUUCAAAAUUUAAACUAUUCAAAUUUGAAAUCUACCGACACUAAGAGAAAGUUUGUAAUUUUUUGUACCUAAAGCAAAAAUAUUCACAAAGAAACUCUAAAUACAACAAAAAAACAACUCAAAAAUAAAUAAAACAAAAAAAAUAAAGCAAAAAAAAGCCCGCCUACUGGGCCAAAGCGGCCUGCAUACGACCAGCGACACAACCUUUCAUUGGGCCAGGAUGCAGGCCCGCGAAGGCCCAGUAGGCCCACAAGGCGAGGAGGACUGGUAGGCCCAGUAGGCCUGACUAGGAGAGGAGCUCGAGAGAGCUACCGCACUGGGGCUUAUAAACCAGUGCGGUAGCCCCUCGACUAGCGAGGUGGGACUAAACUUCCGCAUCGCACCUGCGCCAGCGCACCCCCUUUAGUACCGGGUCGUGGCACAAACCGGUACUAAAGGGGGGGCCUUUAGUACCGGUUUGUGCCACCACCCGGUACUAAAGGGGGUCGCUUCCCGCCGCUUGGCCUGGCCAAAACAGACCUUUAGUACCGGUUGGUGGCUCCAACCGGUACUAAAGGUGCCUUCUAUAUAACUAAACACUUCAAAAUUUCGUCAGUUUCUCAUCUCCCUCUGCUUCUUCACCUNNNNNNNNNNNNNNNNNNNNNNNNNNNNNNNNNNNNNNNNNNNNNNNNNNNNNNNNNNNNNNNNNNNNNNNNNNNNNNNNNNNNNNNNNNNNNNNNNNNNNNNNNNNNNNNNNNNNNNNNNNNNNNNNNNNNNNNNNNNNNNNNNNNNNNNNNNNNNNNNNNNNNNNNNNNNNNNNNNNNNNNNNNNNNNNNNNNNNNNNNNNNNNNNNNNNNNNNNNNNNNNNNNNNNNNNNNNNNNNNNNNNNNNNNNNNNNNNNNNNNNNNNNNNNNNNNNNNNNNNNNNNNNNNNNNNNNNNNNNNNNNNNNNNNNNNNNNNNNNNNNNNNNNNNNNNNNNNNNNNNNNNNNNNNNNNNNNNNNNNNNNNNNNNNNNNNNNNNNNNNNNNNNNNNNNNNNNNNNNNNNNNNNNNNNNNNNNNNNNNNNNNNNNNNNNNNNNNNNNNNNNNNNNNNNNNNNNNNNNNNNNNNNNNNNNNNNNNNNNNNNNNNNNNNNNNNNNNNNNNNNNNNNNNNNNNNNNNNNNNNNNNNNNNNNNNNNNNNNNNNNNNNNNNNNNNNNNNNNNNNNNNNNNNNNNNNNNNNNNNNNNNNNNNNNNNNNNNNNNNNNNNNNNNNNNNNNNNNNNNCCCGUCGCCUCUCGCCUAGCCGGCCGGUGAGCGCGCACACACACACACAUACAUUGUUAGACAUUUUUCUGUUUUUUAGAAAUAGUUAGAAAUGUUAGAAUUGUUAGAUUUGUUAGAAAUGUUUGAAAUUGUAGAAAUUUUUUUGUUUUUUAGUUAUAGAAAUAUAUAGUUAUAAAAAAGUUAGAAUUGUUAGAAAUUUUUCUGUUUUUUAGUUAUAGAAAUAGUUAUAAAAAUGUUAGUUAUAUAUAUAGAAAUGUUAUAAUUUUUUCUGUUUUUUAGUUCUAAAAUAUUAGAAAUGUUAUAGAAAUGUUAGUUAUAUGUAGCAUUGUUAGAAAUGUUAUAGAAAUGUUAGUUAUAUAUAUAGAAAUGUUAGAAAUUUUAGUUAUCAAAAUCCAAUCAUUAAAAAAAUGUUACUUUUUGCGGGCAUAUAGCUAGUAUUUGUUCUCGACGAUGCCCGGCCCGCAUCCUCGCCGUCGACCCGUCCGCGACGACGUCCAGCCGACCCAUGUCCGGGACUGGGCUCCGCCGGGCUGGCACUGGGAGGUGCUGCUUGGAGGGGCGCGCCGCUUGACGAGGAAGCCGGUCGCGGGUCCAGUCGUCGACCCUGAUCUCGUUUGGUGGCGUUCGCGUGGGCCAGUUUCGGUGCGGAGGGACCCGGCCCCGCCGGAGGUGGUACGUCGCCGUGUCAGGGAGGAGGACGAGCACGUCCAUCGCUACAUGGUUGCGUUAGAGGGCGGCAGGUUCUCCAAUACGUGGCAGUAUCUUCGGGGAUCUCACUUCAGUUAUGAUCCUGUGAGGGUUCCAUCUCUUUGGGUGUCCACUGCCCGCGCCGGAGGAACCGCGAGUGUCCUAGAUUCUUCUGUAGUAUUCGAUCUUUAUUAGCUAAUAGCCAGUGAUGUACUAUUCAAUACUAUAUAUUAUUGAGACGAUGUAUUCGAGAUUAUAUCUAUUAUUCUGGAUGAUGUAUUCGAGAUUAUAUCUAUUAUUCUGGACGAUGUAUUCAAGAUUAUAUCUAUUAUUUUGGACGAUGUAUUCGAGAUUAUAUCUAUUAUUCGAGAUUUGAAUACUAAAUUGUUUUAUAUUUCUUUUGGAUUAGUUAAACAAAAGCUAUGGCAGACAAUACCGACAGAGAGGGAGAACAGACCAUGUUCGAUAUGAUACGCGGGGCAGAUGAUAAUCAAAAUGAAGAAGAUUAUGACGGCUCCGAAUUUCUAAACAACACUGGAGAGGGUGAUAUGAUAUUCGAUCACGACGAAGUCAUGAAUGAUUAUGACGAUGACGAAGAACAUGAUCCUGAAACAACAAACACCGACGAGGUAUAUAUAUUUAUAUAAGCAGGCAUCUGGUGAUCAUGACAUGUUUUAAAUGACUUGAAGAUAUAUUAACGAAUCGAUCUUUGUUCUUUCAGCCAUUCGGAUCGAGCAAAUCUUCAGAAAAAAGGACGAAACGAGGCCCGAACAAAAAGUUGAAGCCGGGCGUAAAGUACAAUAUCGAGGCAUGCAGCCCUACUGGCAAACCAAUAGCGCCUAAGAAGAUCGCGAACAAGUUCGUUCGUCAGUGCGGAGUUCUUGUGAAGGACCAACUCCCGAUCAAACUUCAAGAAUGGAGAGCGCCAGCAAAGCCACGUCCAGAUGUUACUUAUGUCGACAAGAAUCAAAAAGAUCUGCUUUGGGAUACUCUCAUGGAACAUUUCACCCUACCAGAUCAUUUCACAGAAGCAGAUGUGCAGAAAGUCAAAGAGGCUGCUCUUAAGAUGAUGGCGACUGCAUUCAAGAACUACAAGAAUGGUGAAUGGAACAAGUACGUCAGCGGAGGAAGGAAGACUCCAGUAUUCAAGGGAACACUGGAGAACCAACGUGAUCAUUGGGCCGAUUUCGUGAAAUUCAAGGAUUCGGAAUUAGCUAAGGAACGGUCGAGAAUAAACAAGAAGAAUGCCGAAAAGAAGGAUAAGUUCCAUAAGCUGGGGCCAGGUGGCUAUGCGGUGGCAAUGCCUAAGUGGGAUAAGUCUGAGAAAGAGAUGGAGGAUGCAGGUGUCACUCCGGCUACUAAGAGCUGGCCCGUCAGGGUCAGGACUUGGUUCUAUGCGCAUGGGGGGGAGUUGGACCGGGAGACAGGAAAUGUUUCGACGAGGGCAAGUCUGAAGGGAGCCGACGAUGCGAUACUUGUUGCAAUAGAAGAGGCACGAACGGGGGUGUUCCAGCCCAACAGAGAGAACGACGAGCUUACGCGUGCCCUGGGAAAUCCUGAACACCCGGGAAGAACACGAGGCAAGGGCGCUAUUCCGUGGUAUGAGGGGUUUUCAGACUGGAACACCGACUACAGAACCCGUGCGAGAAAGAAGAUUGCAGAGGAGAAGAAGAGGAAGAUGGAGGAGGAGCAGAGGAAGCGGGACUAUGAACGCCUUCAAGGCCUAGAAGCAAGUCAAGCGGAAUUGGCAGUCAAAUUCCAGCGGCAGCAGGAGCAGAUCGACUCACUUACCCAUCAAAGGGGGUCUCAGCAGCUGCAGCAGCUAGUGGAUGAUCCAGCAUUGGAUAGCACCGGCACAUCCAUGCCGAGAAGCGGCGUGGGUUCCGUCCCGGACGACCCAAUGCUGGGUAGAUACCCCGUGGAUGACAUCACGAAGAACACUAACUGCGAGCUACACUACAAAAUGAAGAACAUAUCCAUGAAGGUGGCGGACGGCUGUGCUUUCACAAAUCCCCCCGAGGCAACCUUCCAUUGCAACCCGAUUCCAGCGGGCUAUGCUCGUGUCGUGGUUGAUGAGGUGCUGGACCCAUAUUCGGGGCUACAGCUUGACAUUGCUGGAGGUGACGGCGAGCGCUUUCUCGGAGAGGCCAAACAUCGUAUCAUCCUAUGGAAAAAGGAUUGCAUCAUCUUUCCAAGGCCACCCACACCGCGUCACCCGAGUCCUCGUCGAAGUCCGCCACCGAGUCAGCAGACUCCCGCUCCUCCAAGUCCGGCAAAGUGUCAGGACAAUCCUCCUCCUCCAAGUCCGGCAAAGUGUCAGGACAAUCCUCCUCCUCCAAGUCCGCCACAGCAUCAGACGUCCACUCCUCCUCCAAGUCCGGCACAACCUCAGGCCACUCCUCGUCCAACUCAGUCCCGUCAGCCAUCUCCGCCGCCUCAGCAAUCGCAGAGACACCCCGCAGCUCUGGUGCGUAGCCAUACGAGUCGAGGUAGUACAGCUGGAAGUACAGGCGGAGGCAAGCGGUAUAAAUAUGGUCCAAGCCUGAAGCCUCUUCUGCAGAGGUCUUAUGACAAGUCCGAGGAGGAAAUCACAGCCAUAUCGAAGGCCGAGGUGGAAGCCCAUUUUGCACCAAAACCGCCACCGCCGCCAAGGGAGAAAGUGCCUGAGGAAACGAUUGACCACUUCAUUCGUAUGGCUCAACCACCAGCUUCCAAGCCUGUUGACACAGACUAUGAGCGCCACAUCAGGAAGUUAAAUCGAGCACGUCUACAAAGGGAGGCGAGCACGUCUACAUCGGGAUCGAGCAAACAAGAAGCAGCUGCCAAAAAAUGCGGGAAAACCAUUCCCCAGCUGGGACAACAGGCGGCGCAAUCGAUCCCCUCGCUUGUUGUGCCAACAACAGGUGACAGUACGCGCCCCCAAUAUUAUUGUGGGCAAACAGUGCAUGUUCCCGAGGUGGGCAAUGUGGUAAUAACGGAGGAGCAUAUAAUGCAGGCUGAAGUUCUCAACAUCACUGUUGGACAACUCUUCGAGAUCGAGCCCAUGCCUUUGCUUAGAGAGGAUGAAGUAAAACGGCAAUAUGUCCGGGGCCAACCUUUGGUCGCGCCAGACAAGGUCAAGAACCUCCCAACGAGAAUGUAUGAAUUGCAUCAAUGGUACAUGAACAUGACCAAGAUUUCAGAUCGAGUGUCCCUCAUGGUGAAUGUCAAGGAGGACCAUUACUACCAUGAGAAAGCUGGGUCCGUUGAGUAUUUAGAACUGUUUCAGUUAUACAAUAAGGAAGCACUCGACAAAUCUAUCGUCAGUUGCUAUUGUCUGUAAGUGAUUUCUUUCUAUAAUUUAGGUCUCAAGCUAGCUGUAGUGAUCCUUUUGAGAUCAAUCAUUACCUAUAAUUAUCCUCACUAUAUAUAUUCUUUUCUGUGUUAUUAUGCAGGAUGAAGAUAUAUGAAAUGAGAAAAGGUGGACGCUAUGGCAUUGGGUUCAUUGACCCAAACACCGUUAAUGAAUUCACAUGGAAGAUAAAUGAACAUCAUGCAAAGGAAGUAGAAAGCAGCAUGCUAGAGUUCUUGAAGCGCCUCAAAUACAAUGAAGAUAUACUACUUCCUUACCACUUUGGGUGAGUCACACUGUCUUGUACUACAAAUUCUUUGUUUUUGCCUACUAGCUAGCUACAUGUUUUUGCUAACAUAUACCCGCUUAAUUAAGACAUGUAAACGUGUGUGCAUAUGCAGAUUUCACUAGGUCUUGUGUAUCAUUAAAGUUGACGAUGAAACAGUUGAAGUACUCGACUCACUAGUCUCAAAAAACACUGACUUUAACAUCUUGUAUGGGAUAGUCAACAAGUAAUUUCAAUCAUUAUUAACUAUAUAUCUCGGCCUAUUUAGUUCGUCAUUUCAUGAUAUGAACUAUUUAAUAACCCCUUUAUUCAUUUUCUUUGUCGGCGGGCAGGGCUUGGGCAAGAUUCAUCAGCGUCACGCCCGGCCCAUGAAAACAAAAGCUUGAAUGGUUACGACCCAAGGUAAGUAAUUAAGUAGUACUAGCUAUAGCUAGCUAGCUAGCUGCCAUCUCUUUAAUUAUCAUGCUUGAUUAAUUUUUAUCUGAUCAAAUUCCAUUCUCGUAAAGGCCCUGAAGCAGGCGCAGGGUACUGAUCUGUGUGCAUUUUGCGUUUGCGAGAAUAUUCGCAUGAUGGCGUCCGAAAGGAGCAGAUCUCAAAGACAGCAAUGGGUACGCUUGUCAGAACACUAUUCACAAUUUUUACACCAUUAUCGAUAUCUAGCUAGUCACACAACUAAUACACAUGCAUAUUGAUCUCCUUCUUAACAUUUCAAAGAGGUGCGGGAGAAGCUCAUAGAAACGGAGCGCGUAGAAGCACUUCAAGAGGAAAUAGCGGGAUUUUUGCUCGACCAGGUCAUAAAUCCGAAUGGAGAAUUCUAUUACCCGCUACCGCCCCAAUGAAAACCACUUUCAAUUGUCAUCGUGCUCCGAAGGCACCAAUUAGACUGGCUCCGAAGGCAACAUUCAUAUGUAGGAGAAAUUGUAUAUAUCUGUACAUGUGUGUAUGUGUGAAUUAAUUAAUAUGGUGGUUUAAUUUGUGAGACAUUGAUGUGAUAUAUAUAUGCAUGAUUGGUUCUACUAGAAAUUAUAUAUAUAUAACGUGUACAAUGUGUAGUAUCGUAAAAUACCAGCAAACGAAAAAGAAUUAAAAUGGAAACACAAAAUUAAAUGAAAAAGAAAUCAAAAAACUAAAAACCCUCCAAACCUUAUAGUACCGGUUAGUAUUACAAACCGGUACUAAAGGGCUCCAGGUCCGCGGAGCUGGCUCGUGCCACGUGGUCGCCCUUUAGUGACCACUAAUUAGUGCCGGUUAUGUAACCGGCACUAUAGGGCCUUACGAACCGGUGCUAAUGCCCGGUUCUGCACUAGUGCAUGUGAACAAGUUCUAUGCAAUGUUCCCCCGCAAAAUACCAGAUAUCAAAUACUAUGUAUGCACCGUCAACAAAACAUUCACGCAGCAAGGCCAACGGAUGGUACACUCCUUCCUUCCACUUAAUUGAAAAAAAUAAUUAUCUUUACUUAUGCCCGACAACUAAACUUUAUUGCGAAAUAUUGAAAAAACUUUGUACACUGUUAUUAGCACUAAUAUUCAUAUUGUCUGAUAUACAUGUUUCCAUCCUUGCUAUAUAUGUUCUGCUUCACUACAGUUCCUUACAUCCAUAAACAACCAAUUUACAUCUUAUACUCUACAUAGGAAAGAAUGAAGCUCUGCACCCUUCUUUUGUUUCCUACCAUUAUUUACUUAUAAUUGUUCUCACUGACUAUAUUUAAACUAUGUUCAUUUGAAGCUUUUCAUUCAAAGUCAAACAACGCUCUACAAUCUACUUAAUUAGUUCCUUUCGUGUACCAGUAUUUUCAGGUCCACUAAACCAAAGAAAACCUCAAAAAGUACAUUAAGCCAGAUGAUGACAUGCUCAAGGUCAAGCUCGCAAACAGCAGUCUGCACACCAAUUGUCGUAUCAUGCUGGGAACAGACAAGAGAGCAACAAUAACCAGAAACUGGUCAGAGUUCCGCCGCUGUGCAAGCAUCCAUGAAGGAGAUAUCUGCGCCUUCCGUUUCAACCUUACCGCAGAGCACCGCCUGACUCUCAUCAUCCAUGUGCUCUAAAUGGACCAUCAACAGCAACACAGGCCUUCUGCACGCAUAGCUUGUGGCUUUAAAAACAUCUAAUUUGGCUCUAUGAUAGGAUGAACCUUACGUGUGGUCUCCAAUGAUGCCAUGUGUUGCUUUUGUACGAUGCUAUUACUCAUGGGCACCACAUCCAUUUACUGAUCUUUCGCCAAGCAUAAUGCUUAUUCCUUUCUUUCUAAUAGCAUUGUAAAUAUUUUGUGUAUCAAUCUGCCCCUAAAUAUUUUUAUGUUCACUCUCACAAUACAUGCCUUACUCUCGCCCCUUGCGCCAUCGGCGCAACGGGUCAUCUAGUUUAUGAUAAACGUGAGACCCACACAAGUUCACCAUCUUGUAUAAUGAUGAAAUAGGCAGCGCUACUACCUAUUUCAUCAUUGAAAUAAUAAUAAUAAAUAUACCAAAGUGGCAAGCGGAAUUACAAUCAGCCAUCCAAAGAAGACCUACAGAUCUAAAGCCGGGGGAGUAUAUGGGAUUCUGAAAAUUCAUACAUACAUAUAUAGAGUAGCAUGAUCAACCAAAAACGAAGAUAAGAAAAGGAACAAAUGCUACGUACAUGCAUCAACCUUAUAGCAUCACGUCAUCCUUGCAAGGAAGACGCGUGUAGAAGUUGAUGAGGAGCUGGUUGGUCCUGCUCCGGAACCACGGGGGCAAGAGGAAGUAUAGCCCCGUCACCAUGGUCACCAACCGGAAUGGAGUCAAGUACAGUAUGAUGGCCAUCACCAACGAGAGGACAAUGAAGGCGGGAGUGACCCUGGGGUCUUGCCAGCUAAACAGCGACUGCGGGCGCUCCCCCUGCGCAGCCAGGUCGCCGACCACUAUGGCACUGUCUGCAUCGUGCCGGCGAUCCCCCUCAGUCGAUCAUACCUCACCUGCACAACAUCCUCCGGUUUGGACGUUGGGAAUGUGUCGAACUCCUCAUCAAGCUCGCCGGGGUACGCCAGAUCUGUGUACCACCACAGCACCGCAUUUAUGUGUGGCGGCUGCAACGUGCCGAACUCCUAGCUCAGCUCAUCCGCCGGGUGCGCGAGCUCCGCACGCGACAACACCCUGUCUAUCUGCGGUGGCUCCCGCGGCCGCUGUCGGUAGUUCCAUGCCCCGAUCAUGGUUAUGGAAAGGAACACGGUGGGCAGGAUCAGCUCCGGGCAGCACACCAGCUUCACGAAUACCACGUGCACCAGAAUCGUCUUCAGUGGCUUCUUCCACCUGCAUAUGUCGUCGAACCACUUCCCAACUGCCAGCACAUCGGAGAAGAGCGUGGUGAUCCUGCAGACAUUGGCCUUGCUCCGGCGCAGGCUGAACACGUGGGAGUCGAUGUCGAGCAUAUGUACUCCACCACCUCCCUCCGCAGCGGCGGAUCAGUCCUGGCAAGCCGCGCGGCCACCAUCUGCAUCGCCUGGAACAUGAGGUAGUUUUGUUGCGGCACGGAGAUAGGGUUGGUGUGGUGCAUCUUGGGGAGCAGUGGUUUGCCGUACAUGGCCAGCAGAGUGAAGUCUGAUUUAAACCUUGAAGUUGUAGAGGUUGUUGGGAACGAACCCUCACGUCCAAAUCCCUGAAAUAUAUACCCUGUACUAUUUGAUCCGGGUCGAUUUUAACCUUGAGGACGUAUCCAAACAGAAUUGGGCGGGAUGAGGGCGAGACCCACAUGUCAGCAGGAGAAGUAAAUAUCAAGUUUUGUGUGAAAUUUUUUGGCAGCGUAGGAUUCAGAAGGGAGACCUGGCUCUUAGACUGCCACAAUACUGUAUCGGCAUGGACAGCCGGCCGCCACCGCCACGAGAAAUGCACGGAGCGUGGAGCGCUGCAGUGCAGCUCGGGACAAGCUAGUGCGCGAUUAGAGCGAGGACAAGACUGCGUGCACGCUCGUGGUGGGCCGCCUCGGGGCGCGACGACUCCGGGUUCACCUUGCAGCCGGCGCCCGCUCGCCUAGGACCCCGCUGCAGAGAAGAACACCUUCUAGUUGUAGUACAAAGCACAGCUUCCGCCUUUGCCGCGUCGAGCACAGCUUCUGCGUGGUACGCCUCCGCUGCUGUCCACCUCCGCUACAACAUGUCUAAGCGGAACAAGCCUUGAACAACGGCUCCUGUGCGUGGCAUGGCUCGUCCACGUGCUCUUCCUCCUCUCUUACAUGGAGGUGCCGCUGCUCUUCUUGCUCCGAGUCGGCCGAGCAUCGCUGGCAUGGGACGCCGGCCGGGCGUGGAGCAAUACGACGAGACUACGCGUGGGGUGCGCUCGUCCACUAGCACUGGCCGUACGGGAGGAACUUGUUCCGCGGCUUUUCGGCAGUCAACUCGUUGCUCACGUCCAUCUAACCAUCUAUCGAUCCAUGCAAAUAUAAACCAUGCAUGCACGUGUGUUCUGAAAUCCAAGUUCAGUCAACAAUCCCAGCGUCUCCGUGUCACGUCAUCCAAUCCCCUCCUGAAAAGGCAUCAAGGUUAAAAACGACCGGGAUCAAAGAGUAUAGGGUACAAACUUCAGGGAUUUGGACGUGAGGGUUCGUUUACGACUACCUCUACAAUCUCAAGGUUUAAAUUAGACUUCACUCUGGCCAGCAUUUUGGGCCACGACUUGCAGGUGAAGCGGGCAGCGAGGUGGAUCUCCCCCAUCUCCUGCAGCCCUGAGGGGCUCAGCGCCAGUAGGGGGUAGGACUGGGAGUGCACGCGGUCCGUCUCGAGGGUGGCGAGGCGGACGCGCACCUUGCCGAUUCUCUGGUGCCUGGCGUCGCGGUUGGAGUCAUCAAAGACCGCGAUGGUGAUGACGGUGCUGACGUCGAACACGUCCCAGGUGUACUUCUCGUUCCACUGCGGCGCCGCCGUGGCGAACAUUGUGCGCGUGCGCACCCACUUCUUGCCGUACUUGGCCACGACGUACAGGUUCUUCAUGUCAGCCAGGUCACGCGCGCCCAGGAUGUCCACCUCCAGGACUCCAAUGGCGCUCUUGCGGAGCUUCUUCACCAUCAUGAACAAGAAGUAUGUGUGUUAAAUAUAAGAAACAUUGCAUUAGUUUAAUUAACAUGGAUCGCUCGAAAUUUCCAGCUUCAAGUAUACUAGUUUGUUUGUGACAUAGAGAAACGACGAAACUGCUGACAAAUAGCGUCGAAAGAAACCAAGUUUUCAUUGUUUGCCCACUAUUGACAAGUAAGAAAGGUGAAGUGUGUGCUAAUCACAGGACCAUCUCAAGGCGCAGCCGGCAGCAAGUCGCUGCUAUAGUCCGUCAUCUCAUUGAGCACGUGGUACGCCGUCUCCAUGGUCAGCCGCAGACGGAUUUUGCCGGCGACCUCGUCCACCGUCAUCCCUCGCCACAGGCUGAACCACUUGGGGCGGACCGACUUGGACAAGUCAUUGCGGGCCACCGGAAUGACCACUUGACCGAUGGGCUCGUCGUGGCCAGCGGCCACACGCUCCUCCACGGUAACUACCAGCGGGUCCUCGGACGGCUCGCUGGCCACGAACAAGAACUCCUCGUUCCACGUCUGGUUGGCCGACCCCUGCGGCUGCCCCGGCUGCGUCCGCCUGAUCUGGCUGCCCAUCUGUAACUUAGCGCUGAUGGUGGGCACGAGGGAGCGGCCCUCCUCGGUAGGCACGAGAUCCCGCGCUGACAGGACCACGACCUUGACGUACACGAGCUUGGGGGAGUAGUACACUUUGUAGAGCGUGCCAUUGGUGAGCCCAUCCUCGGAAAGGGAGUGAGCUUCCAGGGGCCACGCCUUCUGGAAGGCCUCGCCGGCCAUCGAUGGAAGGGGCGGCUUUAUCUCUGCCGCUGUUGCAUGGCCGGCAGGCCGGGGCAUGACGACCGUCUGGCCCGCCAGCGGAAGCGCAUCUCUCACAGGGCCUCGUACGACGAAGCGGAACAAUCUAGGGUCAUUGUUGUUGCUCUUUUGCCCUAAGGUAGAAGAUGCAGCUUCCGCUAUCUGGCCAUGCAAUGAGAAAUGGUAGAAAAGUGAACUUUUUCUUCAAACAAGGCCUGGAAAAUCCUUUUUUUUUUUGCUUUUAUUGAUGUGCCAUAUGUUGCAACGGGGUUCAAGAUUUCAUAGGUUCUAGUUUUACAUCAAUAAAAGAAACAAUAAAAGCAAAAAAAAAAGAAUUAAAGAAACGCAUCUUGCUUUAUUGGUAACUAGCAAAAGAGCCCGUCCAUUGCAACAGGAGCAAAAAAUAACAGAUGCCCCUAACCAGUAACCGUGACUCAAGACCCCAAUAGGUUCAUGCUAUUUAUUCAAAACAGGGCAUUCAUCUGUGUUGCCGCUUAUCCUUCUCCCACCCUCGCCGACGGUGGCCUUAGUGUUGACACAAUCGCAAUGAUCAAUCCAAAGGCGUCUCUCUCCGCUUAAGUUAAGAAAUCUGCUUUCCUGUUUUCCGUGUGAGGUUUUGCCGACGCGUCCAUGUCUUGUUACAGAUGAUUUCUUUUGUAUCCAAUCUAAUUUUAGUAGGAUGUUCUUUUUCAGUUCGGAUCUACACUGAUACAAAAGAGACGUGGAUCAUGCACUAUUGAUUAAGGUAGUAUCCUAAAUAACAUUUUUUAAAUGGUUAACAUGUCAAAUAACAUCAUAUUUAGAUUCUACUAUUUUAUAUCAAAUUUCAUAUUUAAUAUGUUAAAAUCGGAGUGACGGUUUAAAAGAUAUGACAAUUUUAAAAGAUAAUACAAAAGAGACGCGGAUCAUGCACUAUUGAUUAAGGUAUCCAAUCUAAUUUCAUAUAUAAUGCUGCGGGUUAACUAAGCCAAAUUAGGGUGUUUUUUUGCGAAACACAGACUGCAGGUUGAUUUUAUGAAAGAGCGGUGGAGAGGCAGAAGCGUUCCGUACUCUAUUGGAAAGUAUAGAUUAGUAUUAGUAUAUAUUAUAACAAGUGUUUUCUACCACCAGUGAUUGUUAUGCUCAUGUGAGCUUUGUAUGUUGUAUGUAAUAUAUGUCAAAACCGAGUGUAUGUACGUGUAAGAUAUAGUAUAGAAAAAUAUUUGGAUAGAAUACAAAUGUUUCCGACCACCGGUGGUAAUUACCCUCCCGUGAGUUUUAUAUCUUGUAUAUAGCAUCUGUCAAAACCGGAAGUGUAAUUUACCACCAAUGGUCAUCCUGGGUGAGGAAUGGUUAUUCUUUACCCCCGCUAUUUUACCACCAAUCUUAUAUUUACUAAUUGGAGGCACCAUUCAUGAUCCCUCAUUAAUCCACAUCAUCAAAAUUAAUUAAACCGUUAGAUUAUAAAUUUUACGGUCAGGAUAAAAAGAAAACUUGCGUAAUGUUCAGUCAUAUAAAAAGUGCAUGUGACACGUGACACGUCUAACAUUAGGAAAACAAAACAUGGAAAGUCUCACGUAAGAAAAAAAAUUAAGGAAAUAAAGAAAACUUGCCCAAUGUUCAGUCAUAUAAAAAGCCCAUGUGACACGUCUAACAUUAGGGAAACAAAACAUGGAAAGUCUCACGUAAGAAAAAAAAUUUAAGGAAAUCCUCGCGCGAAAAAAACACACACAAGGAAAGCCUCCACACGUUGCCAUAAAUUAAGAAGGAAAGCCUCUCAUGAUUGAAGAAGGAAAGCCCCCAUUAAAAUCUCUAAUGAUAUAAUGUCAAAAUAAAUGAUAACAGGGAAAAAGAAGCCAUGAUCCGGCUGAUUGCCCAUGAAAUAAAAAUACCGAUGGAGACUCCCCGUUAGUUUCCAGAAAAAAUACAUAAACUAAAUCUUUAUAUAAUUUAAAUCUACGGUUCAGAUCAACAAGUGAACGUGAUUAGAGUCAUAAGCAUAUAGAAUGUGUAGAUCAAACAUAGACGUGCUGUCAAAAAAGGAAAGAAAACGUUAGAUUGUAAAAUUUGUGACCGAGAGAGAAGGAAAGCUUCCAUAACAUAGAUGAUCCAGUGCUAUAAAAAGUGCACGUGACACGUCCAAUAUUAAUGUAAAGAAACAAGGAAAUCCUCACGUAAGCAAACAGAUAAGGAAAGUCUCUACCCGAUCCCACAAAUUAAGAAGGCCCCGUCCCCGUUAAAAUCUCCAACAAUAAAAUGUCUAAAAAAUACCAACGAUAAAAAGGGAAAAGAAUCAACGAUGAUUUUUUUUAAACUUAGAAUCCACGAUCAGGCUGUUUGCUGAAAUACGUAAAAAAAAGAGAGGCUGAUUGCUGAAAUAAAAAUACCAACGAGUUUCAAAAAAAGAAAAAGAGUCAACGGAGUCUCCACGUUAAUUAUCAGAAAAAACAUAAAUUAAAUAUUUAUAUAUUAAAUACACGGUUCAGAUCAAUAAGUGAACGUGAUUAGAGUUGUAACAAUACAUGGUGUGUAUAUCAAGCAAAAAAAUCAUAGACGGCCUGUCAAAUCUAAAGCUAAGAAAAAUAAAUUAUAGACAGACCGAUCUGCACCUCAUAAACUUAAAUCGUCCUGAAGUUCAAAAAAAAAACUUAAAUCGUCCUGUUGUACCAUUAUUGCAACGAUGUUUCUGUUCAAUAUGCAAAAUCUUAUGUCUCUGCCAUAAUCGCAAUAAGCCAGCGUCAUGCCAUGGUCUUUGUCUCGCCUAGAACGCUCCCAUCAGUUCACUUCUACAUAUUAUCGUUGGAUGCUUAUGGUAGCCACUUUUUCAGUUUCGACGAGACUAAUCUUGCAACCAUCCACGCCACAGCAUGCAAGGGACUGGAAAAUUUGCCUAGAUCCAAACAACCCUCAGGUUUGUUCUUACGACCACACCUAAUCUCAUUAGUUAUAUGAUCCGCAUGAAUGUGAUUAGUGAUGGGUACGAAUAUGGAUGCUAUGAUGAUUGACAUGCUCCCUAUGAUAUCCAUGGAUCUUGAGUAGAUUGAGUAGAUGAUACAUGAACUAAGCAUGUUGUUUUCAGAUUCUGCGUACAUGAGAUACUAAUCAAAUCGCUGUUUUGAUGUAACUGCAUUCUGAACUGUGAAAUCAUGGCAUGCAGAGAUGAAUAACAAGAAUAUGCUACAACAUUGCUAGGCGUACCGACUAUAAUAGUCUCCCUAUGAGCGCUAGACCUCAUCUCAAACAUGGCCGUUCUGUCUUUUGCUACCAUUUGAAUAUAUGAAGACACUGAUGUUACUAAUUGUUUGGGCACGCGCACAUACUGUAUGUGAAGUAUGAAACUGUAGAGCCUUAGCAUGUCACUGUUCUACCCUUUCUCUUUAGAAUAAUUUGAUUACCUUUUCAUGCAUACUUUUUUAGUUAACACAACAUUGCUAAUUAUAAAUUGGCAUCUAAAAUUCUAAUGUGUUGUAAACCUGCCUGUUCGGAUGACUCUUUCAUCCUGUGACAAGUUUGUAAAAUUGAUAGACAUAAUUGUUAAACAAAGAUAAAUACAAUAGGCAUUACAUAUGGACCAACAGUGCAAAUUAGGGUUAAAGAGAAAAUAUUUAUCCAAUUGGUUAACAUCGUGUGAUAUCAUAAAUCGUUGAAGAGGUGGCCCGGUUUCAAAAUACCAACAUGCCAUAUUUGAUUUUCUAAUGUAAGUCUUUGAUUUUGUACAAUAAAUGUAUCGCCUAUUGUUACUAAUUUUAAUAUUUAAUGCUUAAUUAAGGGUACUAGCCCGUGCAGAUGCACGGGGUUGAUGACUAGUGCACUAUAAUUUUACGUUCCGUAAGUUUUGUCUUCUGACGUAAAAAGAGAAUGUAAGAAACUAUAUAAUCGCCGUAAAAAAUAUUUUAUGUUAUGUAAAAUUACAGACAUAAAAACAUAGUGUAAAAUAUACAUAAACUCCAAAUUUUCUUGUCUUAUGACCUAUAUUUUUAUUUUUUAUACCAAUAUUUACAUAGUGAAACAAUAGGAAUGUAACUAUUUGAAUUCCAAAUGUAAUUUAGUUAUGAAGUGAUCAUAAGAUUACCUUUGGUGAACAAUAACUUAUUAUGCACCCUGGAUGAUGAACAGCAUCACUAUAUAUUAUUUUAUCCAUGCAAAUAUAAAGUUAUUUUCAACAUAUAGAAAAAUAUAUACUCAUAUUCAAUUUUUUGUGUAUCUUCUUUUAAAUACUUUAGAUAAAGNNNNNNNNNNNNNNNNNNNNNNNNNNNNNNNNNNNNNNNNNNNNNNNNNNNNNNNNNNNNNNNNNNNNNNNNNNNNNNNNNNNNNNNNNNNNNNNNNNNNNNNNNNNNNNNNNNNNNNNNNNNNNNNNNNNNNNNNNNNNNNNNNNNNNNNNNNNNNNNNNNNNNNNNNNNNNNNNNNNNNNNNNNNNNNNNNNNNNNNNNNNNNNNNNNNNNNNNNNNNNNNNNNNNNNNNNNNNNNNNNNNNNNNNNNNNNNNNNNNNNNNNNNNNNNNNNNNNNNNNNNNNNNNNNNNNNNNNNNNNNNNNNNNNNNNNNNNNNNNNNNNNNNNNNNNNNNNNNNNNNNNNNNNNNNNNNNNNNNNNNNNNNNNNNNNNNNNNNNNNNNNNNNNNNNNNNNNNNNNNNNNNNNNNNNNNNNNNNNNNNNNNNNNNNNNNNNNNNNNNNNNNNNNNNNNNNNNNNNNNNNNNNNNNNNNNNNNNNNNNNNNNNNNNNNNNNNNNNNNNNNNNNNNNNNNNNNNNNNNNNNNNNNNNNNNNNNNNNNNNNNNNNNNNNNNNNNNNNNNNNNNNNNNNNNNNNNNNNNNNNNNNNNNNNNNNNNNNNNNNNNNNNNNNNNNNNNNNNNNNNNNNNNNNAACGUGUUAACUUCUUCAGUACAUGUUUAGCAAUUUUCGUAUACAUCAGAAACAUUUUAUAUAUACAAUUAGUCAUUUUUUAUAUACGUGAUUAACAUUUUUGAAAACUUAUUUAUUUUUCAUAUACACAUUUCUCUUUUGCAAAUGCUUGAUUAUUAUAUUUUUAAAUACUAGAUUAACAUUUAUUGAAUACAUGCUUAAAAUUUAUUUUACACAUGGUCAACAUUUUUAUACAUAUUUCAGAUUUUUGUAAUGCUUGAUUUUUUUUCAAAUACAAGAUUAAUAAUUGGUAAUUGUUUGAUUAACAUGUUUUAAAUACGUGAUCAAUUUUUCUCAUACUCAUUAGUAUUUUUCUAUAUAUAUUUUUUGUAUACAUGAGAAAUAUUUUCUUUAAACGCAUUUAACAUUUUCAAUGUUAUUUAAAUAAAUUUUUUUGUAGUAUAUUUAAUUAGAAUAUUUGGAAGUACAAACAAAAGUGAACAAGAGAGCAAAAAAAUAAAAAAUAAAGUAAAAGAAAAACAAGGUUGUGGCCUCCAGCAUGCCUGGGCUGGCCCAUCUCGCGCCGCUUUCAAGUCAAGCUUCCCUCGGUCUCGCCAGAAUCGAGAUAUAACCCCGCACGGGCAUUUCCUAAACGGCGCCCGUAGCGCCCGUUUUAGGCUUAACGGUACAGGGCGCACACCCCUUUCACCGCACUGGGCCGGCCCACGUUACUUUUUUUAAAGACGCAAAAAACAGCGUCCCCACGGUUACUCGAACUGGCGAUCUUCUUGCUCAGAGUUGUUGUCACAACCAACCAGCCAGCCUACUUGACGUGUUUACUACUGGCCUUUUUCUUCUUAUAAUCUUUUUUUUAUUUGCUGGAAUGGUUUUCUUUUUUUUCGUUUUUGGAACAGUUUUUUCUUUUUCCCUUUUUAUUGGAACGGUUUUGUUCAUUUUUUCUUUUCUGCUAAAUGCGUGAACAUUUUCUGCAAAAUCGAUGAACUUUUCUCACCAAAUUCCAUGAACUUUUGUCAAAAUUGAUGAACUUUUUUUCAAAUUCAAUGAAAUUUUUUUGAAAACCAAUGAACUUUUUUAAAUUCGAUGAACUAUUUUCGAAUUGGAUGAACUAUUUUCAAUAUCCAAAAUAUGUUCAGAUUUUUCGAAUUCGUUUGAAUUUUCAGAAAAUGUUUUUCGAAAUUCCUAAUUUUGUUCAUGUUUUCGAAUUUUGUUCACGUUUCAAAAAUAGUUCUGAAUUCCAAAUUUUUGUUAACCAUAUUAAAGAAAAAUGUUCACCAUACAUUGGAAAAAUGUUCAGUGUGUAUAAAAUAUGUUCAUCAUGUAUAGAAAUUUUGUUCAGCAUGCAUUCAAAAGGAGUUCAUCGUAUUUAAAAAAAAGUUCUACGUGUAUUAGAAUAUUGUUCACUAUACAUUGAAAAAAUGUUCAGUGUGUAUUAAAAAUGUUCAUCGUGUAGAGAAAUUUUGUUCAGCAUGUAUUCAAAAAAAGUUCAGCGUAUUUUAAAAAAAUGUUCAGUGUUCUUUGAAUAAUGUUCACCCUAUACUAAGAAAAUGUUCAAUGUGUAUUCAGAACUAUUUUUGAAUACGCGUGCCUUUUUUUGCAUAACCAAGAACUCCAUCCGUAAUAUUUGAACAUAUUUUCAAUAAUUGAAAUGUAUAAAUGCCAUAGUGUAUUGUGCAAUAAAUAGUGCGUCUGUUAGCUGUUUAUUUUUAUUUUUUUGAGAAAGUUAGCUGUUUAUUUAAACGUUCGCGGUGGGAAUAUCCGCUAGCAGUUGGGUGGUGCAGUGGCUAGCCUCACCGUGUGGAAGCGGGAGGGCGCGAGGUCGAAUUGCGGUCGGGAAGUAUUUUUGGCUGUCAUUUUUCUCUCUGCUUUGUUGCGUGAUAGUGGGCCGGCCCAAUCAACCGCUGCUGCGGGCGCCAGAUCCCUUGCGCGGCGCUGAAGGCGCCCUAUAGGAGGUCCCCCGCGCACGUGGCUAAGUGACUGCGACCUGAAUCCUCUUGGGCUGGUUGUGUUUUCGGGUUGUGGGCAAAUUAUGUAGUACAAUAAUAAAAGUUGCUUUUACUAAAAAAAUACAAGUUGCUAAUUAUUUUGAUGGGAGCAACUAGUUAAAAGGUGCCGCUGGAUGGGCUUUAGGGGCACCGGUGGGCACACAGGGGAAGAGCCGUUGUCACAUGGCACACGUUGAAAAUUCUAGAAAACAAAAUUUGUAUCGCAUUGGAUGCAUCCUGCAUAGGAAUCUUUUUUUCCCUUGGUUUUGUCUGUGUUUUUAGAUUUCCAACUUGGCUCAGGUUUUUCCUAUUUAUUCUUGAUUUUUUUGGUUUAUCUGGAUUUUUGUUUGUCGUUCUUGUUUUUUUUUCAGGUUUUACUAUUUUUUCAAAACUAUUUUGUGCUCCCGUCUUGCAUACGUUAAUUAAUGUUGGGAUCACAUGUGCACUACACACAGGGGAUUAAAAAUAAACUAUUGCAAGGAGCUAGCACAAGUAUUGUACAUAGGGGAGUACAAGUAUACUAUAGUUGGGAGUAUAACUUGUGCCCAAAAACAGUUUGUCAAAAUCAAUCAAGAUGAGAUCAAUUUUAAAAUAUUUUAACAAGAAAAGUGCAACUGUGAAAACAGUUCAUAAUUUGGACACAUGGACCUUGUGCAUUCGUAUUUUGAGUUGCAAUUUAUUUGUCAGCAUGUUCUUUAUUAAAAAAUAACUAACUAUUAGGAAAAUAUAUCUCACAAGGGAUCUACUAAUAUUAAUUUUGUUUUUUAUUUUCUCGCAAAAAAAUUGGUUUUUUAUUUGCUAAUUACUUAUAACCAAGGGAAAUCAUGUAAAACUUCGAAGACAUGUUUGAUUGACACAAAUUCUAAAGCUACUAUUAUUAUUGAAUCAGAGGUAGUAUGUAGAAAAAGGUUCUAGAUUCAAAACAGGGAUGUGCAAUUAAAGCUCAUACUCUACAAGUAUUGGUAUUAGUAACAACUCGGAAUUAAAGGAAGAAGUACACAAACUCUCACUUUUUGAACAUACCUGCAUACUUUCCGUUUCGUGAAGCCUGUUAAUUAUAUCUCGUGCGCUAGCUGGUCUCUUCUCGGGAUUGAAUUCUCUACACUGUACAGCUAUCUCGUAGCAUUCUUGUAUUUGUUCACAUAAUGUGUCUCGUUGUGAUCUAUCCAACCUAUCGCUCCAACUUUCAAGUACCUAAAAAGUUGCAGUAGUGAGUUAUGUUCUAAAAGUCAAAUAUGUAUAUUAUAUACCGACCACAUACAUUCAGGCAUCAAACUGACAAAAACAAUUCUCUAAAAAAUAACUUGUGUACCCGUAAAUUCAAGUCAGCUAUCACCGUGUAAAUUGCAAUUUAGAAAUGCAACACCAAAACUAAGAGCAAAUAUUCUUCCAAAAACAAUCUGUUUUGCUGAUUCGUUUGAUGCCAGAUUGUGCUUUUCACUGGACAACUACUAGGUGUGCUGCCAUAAAUGAUAUUACGCAAUAUCUAAAACUAAAACUUAAUGACAAUAUGCAUUGUGGAAGCGUGACAAUUAUUUUAAAGUCGACCCUUCUUAGCCAAAAGGGAAACUGAUCUGUCAUCUUUCUAACAAUGACAUAUCUUGUCCUUACGUCCUCGAUACGUUCAUGUCCCUUAUGCCCGGUCAGUAUUUCUAAGAUAAUAACACCAAGACUAUACAAGUCAGCGCUGCGUGUGAUCACACCCCCUCCGGAAAAUUCAGGUGCCCAAUAUCCCCUGUAUAAAAAUAUAAAAAUCCGAUCAACUAGUGAACAAAGGGAGUUCAGUUUAAAUAACAAAACACACAAAAAAAUGAGCUUUGAAGAGAACUUAGUUAGCUUACACUGUUCCAAACAUGUUUUUCGUAAUAUCCCGGCUUUGAUUUUCAUCGAAGUAUCUCGACAGGCCAAAAUCAGCAAUUUUAGGUACCAUAUUAUUGUCGAGAAGUAUAUUGGCGGGUUUUAAAUCCAAGUGAACAAUAAAGCUCUCAUGAAGGUAUUGUAGACCCAUGCAAAUCCCUUUGAUUAUUUCGUAGCAUGUUCCCCACUGACGAUAUGGAUCUAUAAAGGGGAGAAGAGAAAUCGGGUUUUGAGAUACUUGAUGUAUUAACUUUUGAAUAAUAGAUGCUAUAUGUCACACCCCGCAUUACACGAUUUGUAGUCUAUGAAGAAAAUAAAGAGAAAAGUUAGAGGUCACAUGGUCCUACCCUUGAUAUACUCAUAAAGACUCCCAUUAGGUAUAUACUCGAAACAAAGCAGUCUUUGGCGGGUCUCUGCCAUGACAGGUUUUCCAUCGAAUGUUUCCCUACUUCUUUGUGUGUCAUCACAAUAUCCCAGAAAUCUUACUACAUUUUUGUGCUUUGCCCGCAUUAGGCAUUCGACCUCUCGGUCAAAUUCUGUGUCCGUCAUUAAGAAGUUGGACAACUUCUUCACGGCUAUCUCCUUAUCACCAAGUAUUCCCUGCUUUCAGAGCCUUGUUAGUAUAGCUUCAGUUUAAGUUCGAAAUCAAGCAUGACUAAGAUCGGAAUGCAUACCUUAUAAACCACUGCAAAUCCACCACUUCCAAUCUCCUGGUCAUGAGAGAAAUCACUUGUGAUGUCCUCCAACAGCGAUAAUGGCAGGUUCUUGGGCUCUGUGGCUUCAUCAACUAACACUUGCUCUAGGUAACUUCGUGCAAUACAAGCUUUGCGCUCCAUUUGCAGUUAGUAUGUAAUUGACCUGGAAACAAGAGAAAACUGAUUAUGUAUGUACACAAGCCUAGCUACUAGAUCCAAAUCUCCAAUUACCCAGGUAGGUAAUCAGUGAGAGUGAAGUAAUAUCGUAUAUAUUCAGUACCGAACAUGUAAAGAUCACUCACCUAUAUAAAAGAGAAAGCAGCAAUUUUGAUUUCGACAGCGCUUGAUGACGUCCUUUCUAGUUGCAAACUGGUGGAAAAUUGAUCGACCAGAGAGCUGCAAUAAACAAUGAGUAUAAUCCGCGGGCAACCGAUUCCCGUAAGCACCAGCUGCUUCUCAAACUGAACCUAGCGAGAAGAAAGUGAUAAUAGCAAGUACCUGGCCAAGCUUUGGUGCUGCCUACUGAAGGCGCGAUCCAGCUUCAGAUUUAAUUACCUUUCUCGCGAAGGAGGGGAUGGGGUAUUGAGAGAGGAGUACACGCUGUUCAAGUAAUUGCGCUGCCAACGUACAUGAUGAAUAAUUGAGCUGUGUGUGUGUGUGGUGCCAGCGGAAUCCAUCACGAUAUAAUGGCAUCCUGGAGAGGUUCCGCGGCUGGGCGGACGAAAUAGUCUACGACGUGUACGCGUGCAAUCAAAGCAGAUACAGACGGAUGACGCGCGCCAUAUAUCCCAAGCCAUUAUUUCUUUUCUUCGAGUUGGAAUAGAAUCGAACAAGUCUUCUUCCUUUUUUCUUUGCGGGAUACAAAUGCAGAUGAUAUUUUUUUUCAACACAGGAUGGAUUUUGUUAGUGUAAAAUGGAGCAUCAAGAGGAUCAAAACACUAUAAGCACACACCUGACCUCUGGAUAGCUAUUUUUUUUUUAGAAAGGAGGUUGUCCCCCGGACUCUGCAUCAGAAUGAUGCAUUACGGUCAUUUUAUUAAUAAGUGAUAGCUAGUAUGCACAUAGCCAGAGGCGGAGCUAGGGCCCCAAACCUGGGCGGGCUAGUACAAAGAGGGCCAACUAUUUUUACCAGCUUGGCGAGAGGAGGCCAACGAUCGGGGCGGGUGUGGGGGCACUGAAGAUCGCUGGAAAAAACGGCAUGCUAAUAGCGUAUUGAGAAUUGUCUUGCUAAAUAAAUCAGUAUACAACGUCUCAUUAAUAGCACGAGCACGCUAAUAGCAUAUUCUAAAGCUGACGCUAUUUUGCUAUCACAUGCUAUUUUUUUCCUUGGUGAAGGUCCAGAGAAGCAUAUGGUGUAUGCGAAAGGAGACCAAUGAAUAGUCCUUGGAUGGCAGACGAUUGUAUAAGUUGAGGAGCAGGUUGGUCCUGCCCCGCAACCACGGCGGUCGGAGGAAGUAUAACACCAUCAUCAUGGCCACCACCCGGAACGGCGUCAAGUACAGUACGAUAGCCAUCACCAGCAAAAGCGCCAUGAAGACGGGCGUCAACCUAGGGUCGUGCCAGCGAAGCAGCGACUGCACGCGCUCCCCCUGUGCAGCUAGGUCGACGAGUACCCCCUGCACCAUCCCACACAGGCUCCGGAUGCGAUCGUAUCUCAGCCUCACCGUGUCAUCUGGCUUGGAUGACGGGAACGUGUCGAACUCUUCAUCCAGCUCGUCGGGGUACGCCAGAUCCUGGUACCACCACAUAACUAUAUCUAUGUGCUCGUUCGGGUGCGCGAGCUCCGCGCGUGACAGCAUCGUGCCUAUGUGUGGAGGCUCCCGUGGCCGACGGCAGUAGUUGCACGCCCCGACAAUGAUCAUGCACAGGAACACGGCCGGCAAGACCAGCUCCAGGUAGCACACCAGCUUCAGCAACACCACGUGCACCAACAUCGUCAUCAGUGGGUUCUUCCACUUGCAGAUGACGCCGCAGAAAGUGAGCAGGCCCGGUUGAAGUUUGCCCUGCUUAGGCGCAGGCUGAACUUGUGCCGGUUCAUGUCGAGCAUGUAGCCAUGUACUCCAUCACCUCCCUAGGCAGCGGCGGAUCAGCCUGUUGGAACCGCAGCCCUCUCUGAUGCUAGACUGAAGGUAGACGCAUCACUUUUUUCUGGCGACCAACGCCCCGGCAUUUCAACGCCCCGGCGCUCAAACGCCCUUUUCUUUCAGCUGGCUUAGGUUACAUCAACGAUUACAAGGCCUUUUGUAUCCAUACAGCGACGCAGCGCCCACGCAACUCCUCCGGCCGAUACGCUCACGUACACAACAAACUUCACAUACAUCUACACAUGCAGCUUGAUUCGUACGUUCCGGCCGCAGGGACGACGCACUCCUAUACGCACGACGGGGUUGCCUCCAACGGCCCCUGCUGCAUGCACUAACAAACUGCAGACUAACUCAUACUUGCCUAGCCUGCUGCAUGCACGCACACCGCACCGGCCACUAAGCCAACUAACUACAUGCAUCAAGAUUAGUACUAACACAACCCUUCCCAGGCGCGUGGCCACAAUCACCAUCAUCUCGACCCGGAGGUAUUCCAGCUGCAGCAUGGACAGAGGGUUGGUGUAGUGCAUCUUGGGCCGCAGCGGCCACCCAUACUGUGCCAACAUGUUUGCCCAAGCCGUACAGGUGAACAAGACGGCGAGGAGCUCCCCUGUCUUCUUCAGUCCCGUCGAGCUCAGUGCCAUGAGCGGGUAGAAGUGUGCGUACACGCAGUCGCUCUCUAAUGUCGCGAGCCAGACGCGCAACUUGCCAAUCUGUUGGUCCAUCGUUGAUCCAUUGCCAUGGCCGAAGAGGUGGUUGUUGUUGAAGAUGACGACGGUGAUUGUUGGAACCGCUCUCUCUCUCUCAUGGAUGGAGCACUUUUUCUGGCGACCAACGCCCUGGCAACGAACGCCCCGGCGCCCCAACGCCUCCUUUAUAUUCAACACCCAGGCUACAUCAUGGCCCAUUUCGGCACCACACCAGCCACUAACUCCACGCACGCACGCACUAGUCUAGCUAACGAACUCACUAAGCCAGCUACAUGCACGGCGUCCAUAUCCAUGAUGCAUGCAUGCACUAACCAACUAACCUGCUAACUACGGUGCACGCGAGUACAGAGGAGACCCGGCCAUGCAGGCUAGCUAACGAACCAACGCACCAGCCCUCCACUCUCGCCAACGGCCGCUGCCUUACGAGCCAGACAUGGAGCGCAUACUCGCGCACGCACAUCAGUCAUCGCCCCGAGAAGUGGUUUACUCCCAACACACUCCUAAACCACGACCUCGCCAUCGCCGGAGUUGUUGUAGCUUUCGUCAUUGUCGUUGUCAUGGCCGUGACCCAGCCCGCGGACCCGACCUGGCGCAUCGACGCCGGUCGCACCGCCACGGAGCCGACCUGGCGCACUGACGCCGGUCGCACCGUGCUCCGUCACGACCCCGGCGACAUACGUCGAGCUCCAUCUCCGCCGGCGACACACGCUUGGCGUCCCUCCGCACCCCCACGUCCCGCGUGCACCCGGCGCGCCCGACGAGCCCGACCGCAUCAGUGCGUCCCGCACGUCCCGCGUGCAUCCGACGCGCCCGACGAGCCCGACAGCACCAGACGCUCACCGCGUGCUGCCUCCGCGUCCGCCAUGGCAGGCGCCACGCCGCGGCUCCGUGCCACGCACCUUCCACGAUUGUCGCCCCGAGCCGUCGCGCCCUCUGCGCCACCACGCAGGUCCUUCGCGACCUCCUUGUCUCCGCGACCGCCGUGCCCUUCGCGCGCACUCCCCACGUCCCCGCGCUCCCGGCCCGCGCUCCCGCCGCGCACGUAUGCAUCUGCGCAACCAGGUCCAGCGCCUCGACGCGGUCCACUCCCGCGGUCCCGACGCGUCCAGUGCGCACCCAUAACAUGCACCGGUCGCGCCCAGCUCGCCGCCUCGUCUUAUUGCCCUGCACCGCCGCGGCCUCCAUGCCCCCAUGCAGUGCCUCCACGCCGCCACACCAUGUUGCGCCACCGCGCCGCAGCGCCUCGGCGGCCUCCGCGUCGCCGCACGUACGACGUCACCGCCCGCCGUAUCCGCCACGCGCCUGACAGCUACAGCGCGGGCCAUGUUCAUGGGCCGACAUACGACCCGGAGCUCCGCCGUGCAGCCGCCGGCGAGCGCUGCCAUCGCUGCCACGCCUCCGGCACGGCAAGCACGCCCAAGACACCAAGCUCAUGAUACCAAUUGUUGGAACCGCUCUCUCUCUCUCUGAUGGAUGGAGCACUUUUUCUGGCGACCAACACUCCGGCGACGAACGCCCCGGCGCCCCAACGCCUCCUUUAUAUUCAACACACAGGCUACAUCAUGGCUCAUUCCGGCACCUCACCAGCCACUAACUCCACGCACGCACGCACUUGUCUAGCUAACAAACUCACUAAGCCAGCUACAUGCACGGCGUCCAUAUCCAUGAUGCAUGCAUGCACUAACCAACUAACCUGCUAACUACGGUGCACGCGCCUAUAGAGGAGACCCGGCCAUGCGGGCUAGCUAACAAACCAACGCACCAGCCCUCCACUCUCGCCAACGGCCGCUGCCUUACGAGCCAGACAUGGAGCGCAUACUCGCGCGCGCACAUCAGUCAUCGCCCCGAGAAGUGGCUUACUCCCAACAGUGAUGACGUGGUUGAUGAGGUCGAACAACUCCCAGAUCUACGACUCGUUCCACUGCGGCGACGCUGUGCCGAACAUCGUGCGUGUUCGCACCCACCUGGCCAAAACAUCAUGGAGACAUUACUUCUUUGAAGAGGCGUUGUAAGCGCCUCAUCAAUUUUUCGCUAAAAUGUUAGUCUGAUUAGCUCCUUCAUCGGGUUGACUGGAACAUCAAUCAAAAACAGCAAGUACAACCAGUAAACUAAAUUCUUGAUGCUUUCAUUAUUUAGAAAACAAAAAAAAGAUCUGCGGUGAGAUGGAAAGUCUCAUGUUCAGUUUUUUGUUGAAUUGCUGUACUAAGUUUUUAAAUGAAAGUUCCGUUCUAGAAAUAGUUUGAUAGAUGAGAAGCACAUCAUGCAUCUGCUAAUGAUUAUCAGACAUCGAUUUAUCAGGUUUAUUUCAUUUUUUGUUAUAGAAAAGCAAUCAAGUUGUACCUUGUAAUCACAUAAUCACAUUAUAUGUACCUCUAGCUUCAGUAUGCUGUCAGCAAGUUCCGUUUUCUUCAAAAAAGAAAUAUUUUCAGUUCCAAAGCUUUGACCUUGGAUUGGAUUUCGGAGCUUUUUCUGAUGUUUCUUCUUGGUCAGUUUCUCAUGAGGUAUGUGUCGUGGUUCUAAGUCUGACAGUAGAAUGGGGGGUAGGUAUGGAGAGGCAAGAUCCUAGCUAUGGAGCAGUUGUAUGGACAAGGGAUGUACGAGUUCAGGCCCUUCUCGGAGGAAGUAACAGCCCUACGUCUCAGAGCCCAGAGGCGGUCGACUGGAUUAUGUGUGUAUAGAUUACAGGGGUGCGAACCCUUUACACUGAGGAGGGGGAUGGCUUAUAUAGUGUCUGCCAGACCCCUUUGGCCCUCAGUUAUGCAGGGUUUUAAAGUACAUUAAGGCUAGGCGUUACUGGUAACGCCUUACAUAAAGUGUCCUAAAUGCCAUAAAGACUACUUAAUUACAGACCGUUUGGAUGCAGAGUGACUCUUGAUCUCCUGGUGGUCGAGUGAGUCUUCAUGGUCGAGUCCUUCGAGUCCGUCGAGUGAAAUCUCUCUUGGUCGACUGGAAGGUAGUUUCUCCUGAGGGUGCCCUUGGGAAGGGUACUUAAGACAGGUCUAUGACCCUACCCUAGGUACAUGACUUCAUCAUUAGCCCCCGAAUGGAUCGAGGUUUGAGUGAGGAAGGAGUUGAUAAUAUUUCCGACCUAUUUUUGUGCUCUGAACGUGCCUCAUUUCGGACCAAUAAUCUUUUUGUUGAUGGCAGCAACUUUUCUUUCAGUCGCCUUGAUCCAUUCUUUUCUUCUGUCGAGUGAACUUUUGAACUUAGUAAACUUCCGAGCGACGGAUCGCAGGAAAUCUUCCGUCUGACAGAUUGAUCUGCUGUUAGCGGAUUUUGUGGGAUCCGAAUUUUGGGAAGAGCGCGAAGCGGGGCGGACCGCGGCGCUCGGAUGGGAUAGGGCAUAGACGCCUCGAUUUCCGCGCCGCCUUUUUCGCCACGUAUCGCGUGCGCGCGACUAUUUCGGGAUGUGAUAGGAUCGCCUGGGCCCACUCGUCAGCCACUCGGAAGCGUCCUCAUAAAAGGUGUCAGGCGAGGGUUUUUGAACAGUAUCCCCCCAUUCCUCCUUCUGCCCUCUCCAUCUCCUCCCGCCGCGCCUGCUCUCGCCCCCGCCCAUCCACUCCUCGUGCACUUCGUCGGCGACAAUGGUGAAGGAGAAGACGGCGGCUUUGGAGCGCGCGAAGAAGGCGACAGCGACGGGGAAGGCGAAAGGGAGAGCGUCCAGUCGGGGCGGAUCCUCGUCAAGGUCCCGCCUGCCACAAGGUUGGGUCCAAGGGGAUUGGAUCCGCUCGACCAUCACCGAGACGGAUCUCAAUGAGAUGGCCAACGAGGGCUUGAUUCCUCACGGGGCAGCGAGGCUCCCGGGGAACGAGUGGCAACCGCAGCCGCAGGAGGGUCAGUGCGUUCUUCUAGCUACUCACGUAGACCGUGGGUUCUCCCUGCCUCCGAGUGUUUUCUUCCGUGGGUUCUUGAAUUUCUUUGGGGCGCAACUCCACCAUUUCAAUCCAAAUUCCACUGCCUACCUUGCUGCCUUCGUGUCCAUGUGCGAGAACUUCCUGGGUUGUCGACCACACUGGGGUCUCUUUAAGCACAUAUUCACUUGUCGCUCACAGACAGUGAAAAAGGCGAGUCCGGAUGAUGAUAGGACUAAGGUUAUUCAGAUGUGCGGGGGUCUUGGGAUUCAGAUGAGGAGCAAGAGUACUUUUCCGGCCAUGACCCUUCCUGAGUCGAUCAAAGGAUGGCAGUCGACUUGGUUCUACUGCCAAGACGAGUCGACGCCGGGGCAGUCGACUGGUCUCCCUCCAUUUUCCAUGGACCGAGUGAACAAGCCCUCUUGUCUGAAGGUGCUCCCUGAGGAGAAAGCCCAAGUAAAAAUGCUGAUGGAGCGUGUAGUCCAGCUAGUUCGGGAAGGAGUGACGGGUAUGGAUCUUCUGGAGGUCUUUCUUAGGCGGCGCAUCCAACCACUUCAGUACCAAGGGCACCCAAUGUGGCUGUAUUGUGGAACCGAGGAUGAAACUCGGGUCCAUCCAGAAGCAGUCAACGACGCCACACUUGACAGGUGGAUGGCCGCGAUCACAGGGAAUAAGGACAACCCUCGAGGAGCCAGGAGGAUUCCACCACUCGACCAUUCCUACACUCCGAGCACGGUAUGCCCACUUUAUCCUCAAUUGUAAUCUUGCUAUACUCAUUCUGCUUUUGCUGCAAACUGGUUGAUUGAUCUUUGCUUUGUUGUCUGUCAGGCCACCACUGAAUUAUACUCGAUGCCCAAUGGAGCACAGACGCCGACUGAGGAGGAGGAAGGAAGUGGGGGCGAAAGCAAGGAGGAGUGGGACUCGGAUGCUGUUCACGAUGAUGAGGGUGAUGACUCUGGUGAGGAGGAAGAAGAGGAGGAGGAGGAGGAAGAAGUUGCACCUCCUCGCUCGGAAAGACGCUCGAAGCUCGUCCAUGUCCCUGCAACCGAACGUGGUAAGGGGGUCGCGACUGUCGCGCAGUCGACUAAGCGCCCUCGGACCACUUCUCCGGCGCCGACUGAGAAGGCUCCGAAGCAAUCUCGAGUGGCGCCAUCGAAGCCGGCGAAGGUCUUGCCGAAGAUGAAGGUGGUGAUUCCCACCAUAUCAGGGUAAUAGUGCUACUUGAGUCUUCUUGUUCUACAUGAAUUUAUUUUUGGUCGACUCAUGAGUUAACCGAGUGACUUUCAGAAUUGAAGUGCUGCUACUUCUGAUACCUCGGCCAGGGCUGAAGAUCAUGAGAUGGAAGACGCUGCCACUUCAAAACCUGGUAUGACUUUCAUAGUCCCGUCUUCAGUCGAUUGGCUCUUUGUCUUUAAUUUUGAUUCUUUUCUGUAGCUCCGUCCAAUGUCGUUAUUACCCUUCCUGACAACGACGAUGAGGAACCACUGAGGCCAAGAGGAGCAGGAAAGCGUCUACUGGCAAGGCGACUCAGGACGUGCCAGCAUCCGAGACACUGGUCGCGGAGGGAGAGAACACCACUCGGCCUACCGUAUCUUUUGCGGUGCCGUUGACGAGUGCUCGCCCCUCAUCGUUGAGUGCUGCACAGCCGUCACUUUUCUCGACCCACUUCGUCCCAGAGGACCAAGCCAGGGCUGCGAAAGAAGCAAUACGCCAGGCGGGAGUCAUGAUGGAGCAAGUGAAGGCCAUCCGAGAAGCUAGCCAGGCCGCCUAUGACGCCAGUUCAGCUCUUCAAAGUAACGUUCAGGUCAGUCGGUCACCGCCUAUUCUGUUAGGAUAUGAUAUCUGAAAACUCUUCUUUCUGAAAUUCAUAGUGAUUGUCCUGCACCCACUGGGUGUGUUGAUUGGAAUUCCGGUUUAGUGGGGGCACGCUGAGUGCACCCAGUGGGUGUAGUCCCCAAGGCUAUGGUGGACUGCUGGCAGUCGACCAUAGUCUUUAUAGAUGAAGUUUUUCCUUCAUUUGACUAGGUCGAAUGGAUUUCCAGACCAGUGGGGGCACGCUGAGUGCACCCACUGGGUGUAGUCCCCGAGACUGUGGUCGACUGCUGGCAGUGGACUACAGUUUGAAGAACAUCUCCCGUUUUUUUUGUUUUUUUGUGUUGGUCGACUGGUCGACUCUGACUUGAUAGAACUAGUGGGGGCACGCUGAGUGCACCCACUGGGUGUAGUCCCCGAGACUAUGGUCGAAUGUUUGCAUUCGGCUGUAGUCUUAGAAACGUAUGGUUUUUCCUUAGUCACUCGGAAGUGAAUUGUCUUUGACAUCUGUCGAUUGGUUCUUCAUAGAAAUCCUGCGACCUUGCGCCUCUCUACACCGAGUUGGAGAACAAACACAUCCAGCUCGAGCUUGAUCUGAAGCUGGCCCAAGAGAAUUUAACGAAGGCGAAGGAGGAAGCUAAAGGUAUGUUUGGUGAGGCUUUCGAUGACUGCCGUUGCUCCUCAUUUGUUUCAAAGUCUGACCUUGCUGUAACUUUGCAGUCAAAGUGAAGGAUGCCCAGAAGAAGAAAGACCUUGAGUUGGCUGAAAUGCAGAAAACAACUUUAGAGAAGACCAAGCUCGCAGACGAGAAGUUGGCUUCGGUCACCAAGCAUGAAGAAGAAAACACCAAUCUGAAAGCUGCUCUUGAUGCUGCCAACAAAGAGGUCAGUCGACUGAAAAGUGAUAAGAUUGCCCUGAGUGACAAGGCCAGUGAGUUGGUGGGGAAGAAGAACGAUCUGGAGGCUUAUCUGGGCAGACUCGCCAAGAAGCUAUUACUCAUGCUCGAAGGUAAUCUUUUGCACCAAACAGGUAUAUUAAGUGUGAUCUUUCCAUUCGACUGUUGCCUUGACUCGGUGGUUGUGCUUGCAGAAUUUUGCCAGAAUUUUGAAGAGGAGACUGGUCGACUGGAGCCAAACCUGGACCCCAUCAACUCUCCUGUGAUGGAUGAAGUCGCCAUGAACGUGUUCCGGCUUGAAUCUCGUGUUGCUGCCAUCGUUGAUUAUCUCGCAAGGCUGAAGGUCGCCACAUCCCGCAUCGACACCACGCUAUGGCCCAGAGAGACGCUCCAGAAUGACCUCGAGUCUCUGAUGACUCGACUGAACACAGUCCCAAGUCGAGUGCAGGAGUGGAAGAAGUCUUCUGCCAGGUGUGGCGCUGACGUUGCUCUAUCUUUGGCCCGAGUUCAUUGCAAGGAAGCACGAGAGGACAAGCUGGCGGCCCUUAGGGUGGCUAACACCAAGAAACACGAUUUCCAGUCAUUCAUGGAGACCUUCAUCGCCGCUGCCACUCGGAUUGCUGAUGGAAUCGACCUGGACGAGUUUGUUGCACCUUCCAGCCCUCCACAGGAGGGGUAAAAAACUUCUUGAGCUCGACACUUUAAAUUUGCCUCGGUAUGCCGAGUGAUUUUUGUAACCGACAAACCUUAACAGGCUUAGCGCCUGAGCACUUUCGGUUCUGUCAGGUGUUAUCCGAAUUUGGAUUCGACGUUUUAAAUAUGCUUGCAUUUUGUUUGAGGUAUCUUUUGCAGGUUAAAGCGAGGUGCUUAUUGCAAUCGACUUGUUCCCCAAUUCGCUUAGGCAGGCACUGGGCUGCAGCUAAGCCUCCGAGUGGGAGGUCUGCUCUCCACUCUGUAGGAUUUUCAAAACUUAGGCGAGCACUGGGCUGCAGCUAAGCCCCCGAGUGGGAGGUCUGCUCUCCACUCGGUAGGAUUUUCAAAACUUAGGCGGGCACUGGGCUGCAGCUAAGCCUCCGAGUGGGAGGUUUGCUCUCCACUCGGUAGGAUUUUCAAAACAUAGGCGAGAACUGGGCUGCAGCUAAGCCCCCGAGUGGGAGGUCUGCUCUCCACUCGGUAGGAUUUUCAAAACUUAGUCGAGCACUGGGCUGCAGCUAAGCCCCCGAGUGGGAGGUCUGCUCUCCACUCGGUAGGAUUUUCAAAACUUAGGCGGGCACUGGGCUGCAGCUAAGCCUCCGAGUGGGAGGUUUGCUCUCCACUCGGUAGGAUUUUCAAAACUUAGGCGGGCACUGGGCUGCAGCUAAGCCCCCGAGUGGGAGGUCAGCUCUCCACUCGGUGGAAAGAUUUUCAAAACUUAGGCGGGCAUUGGGCUGCAGCUAAGCCUCUGAGUGGGAGGUUUGCUCUCCACUCGGUAGGAUUUUUAAGGCAUCCUUCUUAUGGAGAACACGUUGUACUUGUGGCGUAGCUCGGAGGAAAGGGUAGCAGUCGACCGGCACCUCGUUCUCCUUGCGGAGCGCACGUUGUUCUUGUAGUGUAGCUCGGAGGAGAGGGUAGCAGUCGACCUGCACCUCGUCCCCCUUGAGAGCGCACGUUGUACUUGUGGCGUAGCUCGGAGGAGAGGGUAGCAGUCGACCUGCACCUUGUCCUCCUUGCGAGCGCACGUUGUACUUGUGCCGUAGCUCGGAGGAGAGGGUAGCAGUCGACCUGCACCUCGUCCUCCUUGCGAGCGCACGUUGAACUUGUGGCGUAGCUCGGAGAAGAAGGUAGCAGUCGAACUGCACCUCGUCCUCCUUGCGGAGCGCACGUUGAAUUUGAACUUAGGCGAGUACUUAGACUGCAGCUAAGCCUACGAGUGGGAGGCUGGCUCGUCACUCGGUAGGAUUUUAUUGAAACUUAGGCGAGUACUUGGACUGCAGCUAAGCCCCCGAGUGGGAGACUGGCUUUCCACUCGGUAGGAUUUUAUUGAAACUUAGGCGAGUACUUGGACUGCAGCUAAGCCCCCGAGUGGGAGACUGGCUCGCCACUCGGUAGGAUUUUAUUGAAACUUAGGCGAAACGGAUUGCAGCUAAGCCCCCGAGUGGGAGGCCGGCUCGCCACUUGGUAAGGAUUUUUUUAGAAACUUAGGCGAAAUGGAUUCGCAGCUAAGCCACCCACUGAGGAGGAAUUUUACUGAACAAAUAAAAGUUACAAAAAUCAUUGGGGAAAUUAUGACACUAUUAUCUUGCGAAACAUGAACUACAGAAGUACUUUUAUUAUGACUCAUCCGAGUGAAUACUUAAGUGUAAAAGGGGCGGAGUAACUCCGCGUUCCAAGCUCGGGGCUCGUCGAUGUUGUGUUCGACGUUGUAGAGACGGUACGCCCCGUUGUGGAGAACCUUGGUGACGAUGAAGGGUCCUUCCCAAGAAGGAGCAAGCUUGUGUGGUUUCUACUGAUCCACUCGGAGAACCAAAUCCCCUUCCUGGAAGGCUCGACUCUUCACGUUUUUGGCGUGGAAGCAAUGCAAGUCCUGUUGGUAGAUGGUCGAUUGGAUAAGAGCCAUCUCCCUUUCUUCCUCUAAAAGGUCGACUGCAUCCUGCCAUGCUUGUUCUGCUUCGGCUUCAGUGUAGAGCUCGACUCGAGGAGCGUUGUGGAGCAGAUCACUCGGUAAGACCGCUCCAGCUCCAUAAACUAAGAAGAAUGGAGUUCUUUCAGUCAACCGGUUAGGCGUGGUCCUUAGACCCCACAGCACCGAGGGAAGUUUAUCGACCCAUGCUCCAGCCGCAUGCUUGAGGUCACGCAUCAGUCGGGGUUUCAACCCUUUGAGGAUCAAGCCAUUGGCCCGCUCCGCUUGUCCAUUCGACUGGGGAUGGGCGACUGAAGCGUAGUCGACUUGUGUGCCCUGAGAUGUGCAGAACGCCCUGAAUUCCUCCGAAUCGAAGUUUGAUCACUAAAGCCUCUGAACGCCCUGAAUUCCUCCGCUUGUCAGUGAUGAUGCUGUGUGGGACUUCAUAUCUGAAUAUCAGUUCUCUGAUGAAGCUGACAGCAGUACCGGCGUCAAGGUUCUUGAUGGGUUUAGCCUCAAUCCACUUGGUGAACAUGUCGACUGCUACCAGUACAUGUGUGAAACCGCUUUGUCCUGUUCUCAAGGGACCAACCAUAUCCAAACCCCAUACUGCGAAGGGCCAGACGAGUGGUAUGGUCUUUAGAGCUGAUGCAGGCUUGUGUGACAUGUUGGAGUAAAAUUGGCAUCCCUCGCACUUGUCGACUAUUUCUUUUGCCAUUUCAUUCGCUCUUGGCCAAUAAAAUCCGGCUCGGUAUGCUUUGGCCACGAUGGUCCGAGAGGACGCAUGAUGGCCACAGGUUCCCGAGUGGAUGUCAUCAAGGAUUAUUCGACCUUCUUCUGGCGUUAUGCACUUCUGACCAACUCCAGUCGCGCUCUCUCUGUAUAGCUGUCCUUUGAUCACAGUAAAGGCCUUGGAUCGGCGGACGAUCUGUCGAGCCUCUUCCUCGUUCUCCGGGAGCUCUUUUCUCUGGAUAUACGCGACGUAUGGGACUGUCCAAUCGGGAGUGAUCACUAAAGCCUCCAUGACCAAGUCGACCACUGCUGGAACUUCAGCCUCAGUCGGAUCUGUGGCACUCUUGGGCUGCGGAGCUUCUUUGGUAAAAGGAUCUUCUUUGACUGAUGGAGUAUGGAUAUGCUCCAAGAACACAUCGCUGGGAAUGGCUUCUCUCUUGGAACCUAUCUUUGCCAAAUCAUCAGCCGCUUGGUUUUUCAGUCGGGGUAUAUGAUGGAGCUCUAACCCCUCAAACUUCUUUCAAGCUUCCUCACUGCAUUACAGUAUCCAGUCAUGGCUGGGCUUCUAACGUCCCACUCCUUCAUCACUUGGUUGACCACCAAAUCUGAGUCGCCAUAAACCAUAAGGCGACGGACGCCGAGUGAAAUGGCCAUGCGCAAUCUAUACAAAAGGGCCUCGUAUUCUGCCUCAUUGUUGGAGGAAUCAAAGUGAAUCUGGAGCACAUAUCUGAGCUUAUCUCCUCUGGGGGAAACCAAGACUACCCCAGCACCGGAACCAUUUAACAUCUUAGAGCCAUCAAAGAACAUGGUCCAAUGCUCCGAGUGAACUUGAGUCGGCUGCUGCUGUUCAAUCCAGUCGGCAAGGAAAUCGGCUAUUGCUUGGGACUUAAUGGCUUUCUUUGCCUCAAAUAUGAUAUCAAGGGGAAGGAGUUCAAUCGCCCAUUUCGCCACUCGACCAGUUGCAUCUCUGUUGUGCAGAAUCUCUGAAAGUGGAGCGUCACUGACGACUGUAAUGGAAUGAUCAGAGAAAUAAUGAGCAACCUUAUUCGUGGUCAUGUAGAUCCCAUACACAAGCUUCUGAUAAUGAGGAUAUCUUUGCUUCGGUGGAGUCAAAACUGCAGACAGAUAGUACACUGGGCGCUGAACUUUGAAGGCUUUCCCUUCCUCUUCCCGUUCGACCGUAAGUACUGUACUGACGACUUGUCCUGUGGCUGCAAUAUAAAGCAACAGAGGCUCUUUGCUGAUUGGAGCAGCAAGCACCGGCUGGGUGGAGAGCAGAGCUUUUAGCUCGGCAAACGCUGCAUCAGCUUCUGGAGUCCACUCGAACUUGUCUGCCUUCUUCAUCAGUCGGUAAUGAGGCAAUGCCUUUUCACCGAGUCGAGAGAUGAAUCGACUUAACGCGGCCAAACAUCCAGUAAGCUUCUGGACAUCGUGCACCCGCACAGGGCGUUUCAUUCGGAGUAUAGUGCCAACUUUUUCUGGGUUAGCAUCGAUUCCUCGUUCGGAAACAAGAAAACUGAGUAACUUUCCACCAGGAACUCCGAAUGUGCACUUUGAUGGAUUGAGCUUGAUAUCAUACCUCCUGAGAUUGGCAAAUGUUUCAGCGAGGUCAGUCAACAGGUCGGAACCCUUUCGUGAUUUGACCACAAUAUCAUCCAUGUACGCUUCAAUGUUCCGACUGAUUUGAGUGAGUAAACACUUCUGAAUCAUCCGCAUGAACGUAGCUCCGGCAUUCUUGAGGCCGAAUGGCAUGGUGACAUAGCAGAAGCACCCGAAUGGAGUGAUGAAAGCUGUUUUGAUGUCAUCGGGUUCGUACAGACGGAUCUGAUGAUACCCGGAAUAGGCGUCUAGAAAAGACAAUCUCUCACAUCCCGCGGUCAGGUCGACAAUUUGAUCGAUGCGAGGAAGAGGAAAAUGAUCUUUCGGGCAGGCCCGAUUGAUGUGUUUGAAAUCAACGCACAUGCGGAGUGACUUGUCCUUCUUGGAAACCAUGACGACAUUGGCGAGCCACUCGGAGUGGUAUAUCUCUCGGAUAAACUCUGCCGCCAACAGUCGAGCCACCUCCUCGCCAAUGGCCUUUCUCUUCUGGACGGCGGACCGUCGAAGAUGUUCUUUGACUGGUUUUGCUGUUGAAUCGACUCUAAGGCGAUGCUCAGCCAGCCCCCUGGAAACACCCGGCAUGUCAGCAGGCUUCCAUGCAAAGAUGUCCUAGUUCUCACGGAGGAACUGGAUGAGCGCUUCUUCCUAUUUAGGGUCGAGUGUUGUGGAAAUAUGGGUCGGAGCUGCAUUGGGUUCGGUCGGGUGAAUGUGAACAGGCUUCCUCUCACCGGACGACUGGAAUGCUAAUUCUGUGGCAGGCUUCUUGGCCCGCAACAAAUCACUCGGAUCUGCAUUUUUCUUGUACCCCUCCAGCUCGACCAUUGUUAUCUGGGAAUCAGCAAUUUUUGAGUCUUUCUGGAAACACUCUUCUGCCUUCUUCCGAUUACCAGUGAUAGUGAUCACACCUUUGGGGCCGGGCAUCUUCAGUUUGAGGUACACGUAACAUGGUCGAGCCAUGAAUCGUGCGUAAGCUGGUCUCCCCAAAAUAGCGUGGUAAGCGCUCUGAAAAUCCACGACUUCAAAUGUAAGCUUCUCUUUGCGGAAAUGCUUCGAGUCACCGAACACUACGUCCAGAGCUAUUUGGCCGAGUGACUCAGCCUUCUUUUCAGGUAUAACUCCAUGAAAACUCAUGUUGCUGGUGCUCAGUCGGGACAUCGGAAUGCCCAUUCCUUUCAGCGUCUCCGCAUAUAAUAUGUUCAGUCCACUACCACCAUCCAUUAGUACCUUCGUCAGUCGAGUGCCUUAGACGACCGGGUCGACCACCAAAGCUUGCCUCCCAGGGGUGGCUAUAUGAGUCGGGUGAUCAGACUGGUCGAAUGUAAUGGGAGUUUGGGACCAUCUCAGAUAACUGGGCAUCGCCGGGGCGACCAUAUUCAACUCACGGUUGAUAACCUUCAGUCGGCUUUUGCUUUCCACAUCAGCAAAGAUCAUCAGAGUGGAGUUAACAUGAGGAUAUUCUCCAUCACUGUCUUCCUUGUCUUCGGCUUUGUCCGACUCUUUUUCCUUGUCCUUGGGCUGUUUUCCUUGGAACUGCUGGAUCAAGAGCCGGCAUUGGCGAGUGGUAUGCUUCGGGUAGAUGAAAUUACCAUCUUUGUCCUUCUUCGUGUGGAUGUGACACGGCAGAUCCAUCACGUCAUUUCCUUCUUUAUCCUUCACCUUCUUGGGGUUCCAGGAUCCUUUGGGUUUUCCUUUGAACUUGCCCUGAGUCACGGCCAGAGCCUCUCCAGGAGCCGCUGGCUCGGCCUUCCGCUUCUGCUUCCGACUGGAGUUUCCUUUCUCCGACUGACUAGGCUUGUACUUGCCGCUACGGAGUCGGUCCUCUUCUUCGCCGUUGGCGUACUUGGUAGCAAUUUCCAUCAUUCGACUCAGGGUCAUAUCUCCGGUUCGACCAAACUUCAAACUCAAUUCUCUGUUCUUAACACCAUCCUUGAAGGCGCAAACUGCCUGAUGAUCAGACACGUUCUCCACGGUAUGAUGCAAAGUGAUCCAUCUCUGAAUAUAAUCUCUUAAGGUCUCAUUCGACUUCUGCACGCAAACUUGCAGCUCUGUCAAUCCAGCUGGUCGCUUGCAAGUUCCCUCGAAUGUUCUGACGAACACUCGGGAAAGAUCUUCCCAAGUGUAAAUGAUGCUAGGAGCUAACUGAUUCAACCACGCCCUGGCCGAACCUUCCAACAUGAGAGGUAAAUGCUUCAUAGCCACUUCAUCAUUUCCGCCGCCAAUCUGCACCGCCACUCGGUAGUCCUCAAGCCAAGUUUCAGGCUUAGACUCACCGGUGAACUUACUUACUCCAGUCGCCAACCUGAAGUUGGGGGGAAUCAUCGCGGCUCUGAUAGCCCUGCUGAAACAUUCUGGACCUGAAACAUGUACUUGGCUGCUAGUGGGCGCAUCUCUGUCGUGGCCACCUCGAUGAGGCCUGUUCCGAUCGACCAGGCCUUGCACGUGUUGGGGAACGUAGUAAUUUCAAAAAUUUUCCUACGCACACGCAAGAUCAUGGUGAUGCAUAGCAACGAGAGGGGAGAGUGUUGUCUACGUACCCUCAUAGACCGAAGCGGAAGCGAUCACAGCGUAGAGGAAGUAGUCGUACGUUCUCCUCGCGAUCCGACCGAUCCCGGCGCCGUUACUCCGGCGCCCCCGAGUUCUUAACACACGUACAGCUCGAUGACGCUCCUCGGGCUCCAAUCCAGUAGAGCUUCGGGGAGGGAGAGUUCCGUCAGCACGACGGCGUGGUGACGAUCUUGAUGUUCUACCGGCGCAGGGCUUCGCCUAAGCUUUGCGACGAUAUGACCGAGGUGGAAUAUGGUGGAGGGGGGCACCGCACACGGCUAAGGAACGAUCCGUAGAUCAACUUGUGUGUCUAUGGGGUGCCCCCUGCCCCCGUAUAUAAAGGAGCAAGGGGGAGGCCGGCCGGCCCUAGUGGCGCGCCAAGGGAGGGGGGGAGUCNNNNNNNNNNNNNNNNNNNNNNNNNNNNNNNNNNNNNNNNNNNNNNNNNNNNNNNNNNNNNNNNNNNNNNNNNNNNNNNNNNNNNNNNNNNNNNNNNNNNNNNNNNNNNNNNNNNNNNNNNNNNNNNNNNNNNNNNNNNNNNNNNNNNNNNNNNNNNNNNNNNNNNNNNNNNNNNNNNNNNNNNNNNNNNNNNNNNNNNNNNNNNNNNNNNNNNNNNNNNNNNNNNNNNNNNNNNNNNNNNNNNNNNNNNNNNNNNNNNNNNNNNNNNNNNNNNNNNNNNNNNNNNNNNNNNNNNNNNNNNNNNGCGCCACCACCUGGUGCGGCCCUCUCUCUCCCCUCUUGGCCCACUAAGGCCCAUAACUUCCCCGGGGGGUUCCGGUAACCCCUCCGGCACUCCGGUUUUCUCCGGAAACUUCCGGAACCUUUCCGGUGUCCGAAUAUAGCCGUCCAAUAUAUCAAUCUUUAUGUCUCGACCAUUUCGAGACUCCUCGUCAUGUCCGUGAUCACAUCCGGGACUCCGAACUCCUUCGGUACAUCAAAAUACAUAAACUCAUAAUAUAACCGUCAUCGAAACCUUAAGCGUGCGGACCCUACGGUUCGAGAACAAUGUAGACAUGACCGAGACACGUCUCCGAUCAAUAACCAAUAGCGGGACCUGGAUGCCCAUAUUGGUUCCUACAUAUUCUACGAAGAUCUUUAUCGGUCAGACCGCAUAACAACAUACGUUGUUCCCUUUGUCAUCGGUAUGUUACUUGCCCGAGAUUCGAUCGUCGGUAUCCAAUACCUAGUUCAAUCUCGUUACCGGCAAGUCUCUUUACUCGUUCCGUAAUACAUCAUCUCACAGCUAACUCAUUAGUUGUAAUGCUUGCAAGGCUUAAGUGAUGUGUAUUACCGAGAGGGCCCAGAGAUACCUCUCCGACAAUCGGAGUGACAAAACCUAAUCUCGAAAUACGCCAACCCAACAUCUGCCUUUGGAGACACCUGUAGUACUCCUUUAUAAUCACCCAGUUACGUUGUGACGUUUGGUAGCACCCAAAGUGUUCCUCCGGUAAACGGGAGUUGCAUAAUCUCAUAGUUAUAGGAACAUGUAUAUGUCAUGGAUAAAAGCAGUAGCAACAUACUAAACGAUCGUGUGCUAAGCUAAUGGAAUGGGUCAUGUCAAUCAGAUCAUUCACCUAAUGAUGUGACCUUGCUAAUCAAAUAACAACCCUUUGUUCAUGGUUAGGAAACAUAACCAUCUUUGAUUAACAAGCUAGUCUUAGUAGAGGCAUACUAGUGACAUUCUGUUUGUCUAUGCAUUCACACAUGUAUUAUGUUUCCGGUUAAUACAAUUCUAGCAUGAAUGAUAAACAUUUAUCAUGAAAUAAGGAAAUAAAUAAUAACUUUAUUAUUGCCUCUAGGGCAUAUUGCCUUCAGUCUCCCACUUGCACUAGAGUCAAUAAUCUAGAUUACAUAGUAAUGAUUCUAACACCCAUGGAGUCUUGGUGUUGAUCAUGUUUUGCUCGUGGAAGAGGCUUAGUCAAUGGGUCUGCUACAUUCAGAUCCAUAUGUAUCUUGCAAAUCUCUAUGUCUCCCACCUGGACUAAAUCCCGGAUGGAAUUGAAGCGUCUCUUGAUGUGCUUGGUCCUCUUGUGAAAUCUGGAUUCCUUCGCUAAGGCAAUUGCUCCAGUAUUGUCACAGAAGAUUUUCAUUGGACCCGAUGCACUAGGUAUGACACCUAGAUUGGAUAUGAACUCCUUCAUCCAGACUCCUUCAUUAGCUGCUUCCGAAGCUGCUAUGUACUCCGCUUCACAUGUAGAUCCCGCUAUGACGCUUUGUUUAGAACUGCGCCAACUGACAGCUCCUCCGUUUAGUGUAAAUACGUAUCCGGUCUGCGAUUUAGAAUCGUCCGGAUCAGUGUCAAAACUUGCAUCAACGUAACCGUUUACGAUGAGCUCUUUGUCACCUCCAUAUACGAGAAACAUAUCCUUAGUCCUUUUCAGGUAUUUCAGGAUGUUCUUGACCGCUGUCCAGUGAUCCACUCCUGGAUUACUUUGGUACCUUCCUGCUAAGCUUAUAGCAAGGCACACAUCAGGUCUGGUACACAGCAUUGCAUACAUGAUAGAGCCUAUGGCUGAAGCAUAGGGAACAUCUUUCAUUUUCUCUCUAUCUUCUGCAGUGGUCGGGCAUUGAGUCUUACUCAACUUCACACCUUGUAACACAGGCAAGAACCCUUUCUUUGCUUGAUCCAUUUUGAACUUCUUCAAAAUUUUGUCAAGGUAUGUGCUUUGUGAAAGUCCAAUUAAGCGUCUUGAUCUAUCUCUAUAGAUUUUGAUGCCCAAUAUGUAAGCAGCUUCACCGAGGUCUUUCAUUGAAAAACUCUUAUUCAAGUAUCCUUUUAUGCCAUCCAGAAAUUCUAUAUCAUUUCCGAUUAGUAAUAUGUCAUCUACAUAUAAUAUCAGAAAUGCUACAGAGCUCCCACUCACUUUUUUGUAAAUACAGGCUUCUCCAAAAGUCUGAAUGAACCCAAAUGCUUUGAUCACACUAUCAAAGCGUUUAUUCCAACUCCGAGAUGCUUGCACCAGUCCAUAAAUGGAUCGCUGGAGCUUUCACACUUUGUUAGCUCCCUUUGGAUCGAUAAAACCUUCUGGUUGCAUCAUAUACAACUCUUCUUCCAGAAAUCCAUUCAGGAAUGCAGUCUUUACAUCCAUUUGCCAAAUUUCAUAAUCAUAAAAUGCGGCAAUUGCUAACAUGAUUCGGACAGACUUAAGCAUCGCUACGGGUGAGAAGGUCUCAUCGUAGUCAAUCCCUUGAACUUGUCAAAAACCCUUUGCGACAAGUCGAGCUUUGUAGACAGUAACAUUACCGUCAGCGCCAGUCUUCUUCUUGAAGAUCCACUUGUUUUCUAUUGCUUGCCGACCCUCAGGCAAGUCAACCAAAGUCCAUACUUUGUUUUCAUACAUGGAUCCCAUCUCAGAUUUCAUGGCCUCAAGCCAUUUUGCGGAAUCUGGGCUCACCAUCGCUUCUUCAUAGUUCGUAGGUUCAUCAUGAUCUAGUAGCAUGAUUUCCAGAACAGGAUUACCGUACCACUCUGGUGCGGAUCUUACUCUGGUUGAUCUACGAGGUUCUGUAGUAACUUGAUCUGAAGUUUCAUGAUCAACAUCAUCAACUUCCUCACUAUUUGGUGUAGAUAUCUCAGAAACCGGUUUCUGUGACAAACUACUUUCUAAUAAGGGAGAAGGUACUAUUACCUUAUCAAGUUCUACUUUCCUCCCACUCACUUCUUUCGAGAGAAACUCCUUCUCUAGAAAGGAUCCAUUCUUGGCAACAAAUGUCUUGCCUUCGGAUCUGUGAUAGAAGGUGUACCCAACUGUCUCCUUUGGGUAUCCUACGAAGACACAUUUCUCCGAUUUGGGUUCGAGCUUAUCAGGUUGAAGCUUUUUCACAUAAGCAUCGCAUCCCCAAACUUUAAGAAACGACAACUUUGGUUUCUUGCUAAACCAUAGUUCAUAAGGUGUCGUCUCAACGGAUUUUGACGGUGUUCUAUUCAAUGUGAAUGCGGCCGUCUCAAGAGCAUAACCCCAAAACUAUAGCGGUAAAUCUGUAAGAGACGUCAUAGAUCGCACCAUAUCUAGUAAAGUGCGAUUACGACGUUCGGACACACCAUUACGCUGUGGUGUUCCAGGUGGCGUGAGUUGCGAAACUAUUCCGCAUUGUUUCAAAUGUAGACCAAACUCGUAACUCAAAUAUUCACCUCCACGAUCAGAUCGUAGAAACUUAAUUUUCUUAUUACGAUGAUUUUCAACUUCACUCUGAAAUUCUUUGAACUUUUCAAAUUUUUCAGACUUAUGUUUCAUUAAGUAGAUAUACCCAUAUCUGUUUAAAUCAUCUGUGAAGGUGAGAAAAUAACGAUAUCCGCCACGAGCCUCAACAUUCAUCGGACCACAUACAUCUGUAUGUAUGAUUUCCAACAAAUCUGUUGCUCUCUCCAUAGUGCCGGAGAACGGGGUUUUAGUCAUCUUGCCCAUGAGGCACGGUUCGCAAGUGCCAAGUGAUUCAUAAUCAAGUGACUCCAAAAGUCCAUCAGUAUGGAGUUUCUUCAUGCGCUUUAUACCGAUAUGACCUAAACGGCAGUGCCACAAAUAAGUUGCACUAUCAUUAUCAACUCUGUAUCUUUUGGUUUCAACAUUAUGAAUAUGUGUAUCACUACUAUCGAGAUUCAUCAAAAAUAGACCACUCUUCAAGGGUGCAUGACCAUAAAAGAUAUUACUCAUAUAAAUAGAACAACCAUUAUUCUCUGAUUUAAAUGAAUAACCGUCUCGCAUCAAACAAGAUCCAGAUAUAAUGUUCAUGCUCAACGCAGGCACCAAAUAACAAUUAUUUAGGUCUAAAACUAAUCCCGAAGGUAGAUGUAGAGGUAGCGUGCCGACCGCGAUCACAUCAACUUUGGAACCAUUUCCCACGCGCAUCGUCACCUCGUCCUUUGCCAGUGUUCGCUUAAUCCGUAGUCCCUGUUUCGAGUUGCAAAUAUUAGCAAUAGAACCAGUAUCAAAUACCCAGGUGCUACUGCGAGCUCUAGUAAGGUACACAUCAAUAACAUGUAUAUCACAUAUACCUUUGUUCACCUUGCCAUCCUUCUUAUCCGCCAAAUACUUGGGGCAGUUCCGCUUCCAGUGACCAGUCUGCUUGCAGUAGAAGCACUCAGUUUCAGGUUUGGGUCCAGACUUGGGUUUCUUCUCCUGAGCAGCAACUUGUUUGCUGUUCUUCUUGAAGUUCCCCUUCUUCUUCCCUUUGCCUUUCUUCUUGAAACUAGUGGUCUUAUUGACCAUCAACACUUGAUGCUCCUUCUUGAUUUCUACCUCCGCAGCCUUUAGCAUUGCGAAGAGCUCAGGUAUAGUCUUUACUAACCCUUGCAUAUUAUAGUUCAUCACGAAGCCUUUGUAGCUUGGUGGCAGUGAUUGAAGAAUUCUGUCAAUGACACAAUCAUCCGGAAGAUUAACUCCCAGUUGAGUCAAGUGAUUGUAAUACCCAGACAUUCUGAGUAUGUGCUCACUGACAGAACUAUUCUCCUCCAUCUUGCAGCUAUAGAACUUAUUGGAGACUUCAUAUCUCUCAAUCCGGGCAUUCUGUUGGAAUAUCAACUUCAACUCCUGGAACAUCUCAUAUGCUCCAUGACGUUCAAAACGUCGUUGAAGUCCCGGUUCUAAGCCGUAAAGCAUGGCACACUGAACUAUAGAGUAGUCAUCAGCUUUGCUCUGCCAGACGUUCUUAACGUCGUCAGUUGCAUCAGCAGCAGGCCUGGCACCUAGCGGUGCAUCCAGGACGUAACUCUUCUGUGCAGCAAUGAGGAUAAUCCUCAGGUUACGGACCCAGUCCGUGUAAUUGCUACCAUCAUCUUUCAACUUUGCUUUCUCAAGGAACGCAUUAAAAUUCAACGGAACAACAGCACGAGCCAUCUAUCUACAAACAUAGACAAGCAAGAUACUAUCAGGUACUAAGUUCAUGAUAAAUUUAAGUUCAAUUAAUCAUAUUACUUAAGAACUCCCACUUAGACAGACAUCCCUCUAGUCAUCUAAGUGAUCACGUGAUCCAAAUCAACUAAACCAUAACCGAUCAUCACGUGAGAUGGAGUAGUUUUCAAUGGUGAACAUCUUAUGUUGAUCAUAUCUACUAUAUGAUUCACACUCGACCUUUCGGUCUCCGUGUUCCGAGGCCAUAUCUGCAUAUGCUAGGCUCGUCAAGUAUAACCUGAGUAUUCUGCGUGUGCAAAACUGGCUUGCACCCGUUGUAGAUGGACGUAGAGCUUAUCACACCCGAUCAUCACGUGGUGUCUGGGCACGACGAACUUUGGCAACGGUGCAUACUCAGGGAGAACACUUCUUGAUAAUUUAGUGAGAGAUCAUCUUAUAAUGCUACCGAAAAUCAAAGCAAGAUAAGAUGCAUAAAAGAUAAACAUCACAUGCAAAUCAAUAUAAGUGAUAUGAUAUGGUCAUCAUCGUCUUGUGCUUCGUGAUCUCCAUCUCUGCAGCACCAUCAUGAUCACCAUCGUCACCGGCGCGACACCUUGAUCUCCAUCGUAGCAUCGUUGUCGUCUCGCCAAUCUUAUGCUUCUACGACUAUCGCUACCGCUUAGUGAUAAAGUAAAGCAUUACAGGGCGAUUGCAUUUCAUACAAUAAAGCGACAACCAUAUGGCUCCUGCCAGUUGCCGAUAACUUCGGUUACAAAACAUGAUCAUCUCAUACAAUAAAAUAUAGCAUCACGUCUUGACCAUAUCACAUCACAACAUGCCCUGCUAAAACAAGUUAGACGUCCUCUACUUUGUUGUUGCAAAUUUUACGUGGCUGCUACGGGCUUAAGCAAGAACCAAUCUCACCUACGCAUCAAAACCACAAUGAUACUUCGUCAAAUAGACUCCAUUUUAACCUUCUCAAGGACCGGGCGUAGCCACACUCGGUUCAACUAAAGUGAGAGAGACAGACACCCGCCAGUCACCUUUAAGCAACGAGUGCUCGUAGCGGUGAAACCAGUCUCGCGUAAGCGUACGCGUAAUGUCGGUCCGGGCCGCUUCAUCUCACAAUACCGCUGAACCAAAGUAUGACAUGCUGGUAGGUAGUAUGACUUGUAUCGCCCACAACUCACUUGUGUUCUACUCGUGCAAAACAUCAAACCAUAAAAACCUAGGCUCGGAUGCCACUGUUGGGGAACGUAGUAAUUUCAAAAAAUUUCCUACGCACACGCAAGAUCAUGGUGAUGCAUAGCAACGAGAGGGGAGAGUGUUGUCUACGUACCCUCGUAGACCGAAGCGGAAGCGAUCACGGCGUAGAGGAAGUAGUCGUACG